GUAGCUUAAGGGUCUAACUCUUCUCUUUUGGUAGGUAGGGUUUAUUUGUUGUAUAUUCGUGCCUAAUUUAUUUAUGUUUUCGUUUUAGUUUCAUCUUCACAAUUGGAAGUCCCAACUAAUAAGGUCCAGGGCGGCUCUUCAUUGUUUUAUUAUUAUUUUUUUUUAGUUAUCUUAAUUAAUUAGAUUUGCUAAUUAAUUCGGUUUCUAGCUCUAUGGCUUAUGAUCUUGAAGCCAAAGCUACCGCCACCAGUAGUAGUGACCAUCACGUCAGAAGGGAAAAGAGUUCGUCCGGUGGAUCAGCAACAGCCUCGCGGAUCAGCAAGAAAAAAAAUCGAGAAGAAGAAGAAGAAGAAGGAGAAAAGGUCAAAAAGGCAGUAACGGAAAAGGUAUUGACGGAUAUAUUAAAGUCAUUAUGGAAGACUCCUGUGGAUUUAAUCUACGCCAAAUUAGAGUUGGAGUUAAUGCGGGGUGAAAACGGGAAAUUGAAACGGGAAAAUCAAAGACUUUUAAGUGAGCUUGAAGCAGCAUCAGGAAACGAGAAUAUAAAUAAGAGAAAAAAAACAAAGAUGGGAUCAUUAGCGGGCUAAGUUAUGUGCUUCAAGCCGCUAAUAUUAUUAAUUAAUGCAGUGGAUUAUGGAAUUAGUUUCGGUUUCUUGUUUGCUUCUUUCGAAUUAAAGUUUGUUUCUGGCUAGAUAUUUCAAUUGAACUUUCCAAUUCAUUUAAUUGUGAUCUUUAUUUACUUAUUUACUUUUAAUUUUUUUCGUCUCUCAUUUGUAUAAACUACGUACGCCUAAUACAAUAUGCCCCAAAAAGGUUUAAGUGCAUUGACGAUCCUUUGAACAAAUAUUUUAUAGUUGAGUAAGAGUAAGGCCGACUACUCCACCCUGUUAGCUAAUAGGCUUUGAUUUCUAACUUUAAUUGUUCUAUUGCAUUAGCCACAUGCGACCUUUUUCGGCCCACCCACAGCUGCAUUUUAGACCUUUUCGAUUUUCAUUGAGAAGAAAAAUCAUCUUUUAUAAUUUAUAUCCAACCAUUUUGAAACACAAUUUAGAAUCUCUUACAUCUUUAUCGUAACAAAAUUUGCUCCUCUUAGAGAAUUCAUAAAAAUAUUAACAACCAAUAAUUUUAAAAAUAAAAGGGGUUAACUACACCUGGGUGACACAUAUUUUGAUAAAUUUCAAAAUUGUGAUACAUAUUUUAAAAAUGUUGGAUCAUGUGACAAUUUAUUAAUUUUUAUUAACGGACUAAGGGUGAAAUUAUAAAAAUAGAUUUAUUUUAUUUAUUUACUUUUUUUUUGUUAAUUACAUUUAGGUGACACAUGUCUUAACAAAUUUUAAAAUGGUGGCACAUGUCUUAAAAAUAUUCCAUUGCCGUUAAUUCUAACUAACCAAGAGUAAAAUUGGAAAAAUGUAUUUAUUUUAUUUAUUUACUUUUUUUUCAUUUUCCUCUCUCUCCGUCUUCCUUCAUCUUCUCUAGUUUUUUUUUCCCCUCUUUCUUUCUUUGUCUUCUUCAGUUCAUUUUUUUCCCCCUCCUUUUGUCCUUCUUUCUUUGUCUUCUUUAAUUUGUUUUUUUUUCCCCUCUUUUUCUCCUUCUGUCUUCGUCUUCUCUAGGCUUCAUCUCCUCCAUGGCCAAAGCACGAUAGCAGCUGCGAGUUCGUGGAGCCAAAGCAGCAGUUUGAUUCAAUAAGAAAAUAUUUUUUAAAAAGAUUUAAUUUGAUUUAACCAAUAAAUAUCCUUGUUAAUUAGAGUUAGAUUAUAUAUAUAUAUAUAUAUAUAUAAAUUAAAAAUAAGUGAGUAGGGACAAAAACAUCAUUUUUUAACUAAUUGUAGGGGCAAAAUAUUAUUUUAUAAUUAAUUGACUAAUUCUAGAGUUAUUGGUAAAAAUCAAUGGAUUGUCAUUUGAUCAAGUAUUAGUACUUUUAAAACAUGUAUCACUUUUUUUAAAUAUGUCAAAAUAAGCUUCAUCUGAUGAUAAUUAAUCCUAAAACAAAUCUAUUUUUUCAAUUUCACCCUUGGUUCGUUAGAAUUAGUAGUAAAACUUAACAGAUUGUUCCCUAAUCAAGUAUUUUUUAAGACACAUGUCACUAUUUUGUAAUUUAUCAAAACUUGUGUUGUCGAGAUAUAAUUAACCCAUAUAUAUAUAUAUAGAGAGAGAGUGUGUGUGUGUGUGUGUGGAUGGAGGUGCAUGGUGAGAGCUAUCGUAAAAAAUCAUCGACUUCUGCCUGUAGUUUGUACUUUUGUAGUUUUGACAUUAGAUAGAAAAUAAUAUUUCUUCUCUAAUUAUGUACAAACAUUCUAGGAAAUAAACCCUGCGGUGAUCUCAACACAUUAAUCAUUCCUAAAACAACAAUAUGAAAAGGACCAAAUUAAUCAAUCUAAGGCAUACCACUAAUCCGGACCAAGACCGACAUUAAUUGAAUUAGGACCGAGACCGACCACCAAAUCAAGGUAGGAAUAGGAAUAUGCAUGUCAUAAGGGCUAAGGCAAAUCCAAUCUCAUGGUGCGUGGGCUACGCGCCGGGACAAUUAUUUAAGAGCCACUUCUCUUAAGUUUUUAACAAACAGCAGUAGCCUAAGGGUAUAAUUCUUCUCUCUCGGUAGGGUUUAUUUGUUGUAUAUUCGUGCCCAAUUUAUUUCUGUUUUGGUUUUAGCUUCAUCUUCCCAAGUGAAGUCCCAACUAAUAAGGUCUAGGGCGGCGCUUCAUUGUUUUAUUGUUAUUAUUGUUUUAAUUAUCUUAAUUAACUAUCUUUGUUAAUUAAUUCGGUUUCUAGCUCUAUGGCUUAUGAUCUUGAAGCCAAAGCUACCGCCACCAGCAGCAGUGAUCAUCAUGUCAGAAGGGAAAAGAGUUCGUCCGGUGCAUCAGCAACAGCCUCGCGGAUCAGCAAGAAAAAAAAUCGAGAAGAAGAAGAAAAGGCAGAAAAGGUUUGGAGGAAUAUGUUACAAAUAUUAUGGAAGACUCCUGAAGAUGCAAUCAACGGUAAAUUUGAAUUGGAGUUGAAGCGGGUUGAAAACGAGAAACUGAAACGGGAAAAUCAAAGACUUUUAAGGGAGCUCGAAGCAGCAUCAAUAGAAAACGAGAACAUAAAUAAGAGAAAAAAAAAAAACAAAGGUGGGAUCAUUAGCGAACUAAGUUAGGUGCUUCAAGCCGCUAAUAUUAUUAAUUAAUGCAGUGGAUUAUGGAAUUAGUUUCAAUUUCUUGCAUGCUUCUUUUGAAUUAAAGUGUGUUUCUGGCUAGAUAUUUCAAUUGAACUUUCUAGAAUUAGUUUCAAUUUCUUGCAUGCUUCUUUUGAAUUAAAGUGUGUUUCUGGCUAGAUAUUUCAAUUGAACUUUCUGGAAUUAGUUUCAUUUUCUUGCAUGCUUCUUUUGAAUUAAAGUUUGUUUCUGGCUAGAUAUUUCUAUUGAACUUUCCAAUUCAUAUAAUUUUGAUCUUUAUUUAUUUAUUUAUUUUUAAUUAUCCUGUGUCUUAUCUGUAUAAACUACGCCGGAUAUAAUAUGCCUCAAAAACGUUUUAAUUGCAUCAUGGGGCGGUGAAGCUGAGCCAUGAAGUGGGGAAAAGACUUCUUGAAUUGCGGCCAGAACAUUGUAGGCGAUAUGUGGUGCUAUCAAACUUCCAUACUGGAGUGGAGAGAUGGUCAGCUGAGGAUGUAGACACUUUAAUGUCACAGAUGCAUGAUCCCUCAUUCAUGCUUGCUAGCAAUCCCUCAAUUCCGCCAAAACAAAGAUAAAUUCUAAGGAUUGCUACCCAAAUUCUUUUAGCUGAAUUUUCAGUACAUAAAUGUUUGUUGUUCAUAUGUAUUCUAAAACUGACUGAUUUGUAUUCCGGUAUAUACGUAAUUGUCAUGUGUUAUGAAAUUAUAUAAUUUAAUUAUCUGAAAUUAGCAACUCCAAAUUAUUUAAUACAUUGACAAAAUAAUAUAAAUCAUUAUAAUUUCACCCAUACAUACAACUCUUUUUUUUUUAAGCAUAAAAAUCUGUUCAAGAUAUUGUGCAUUCACUAAUAUCUUGGAGAAACAAAGAUUUUACACUAAACAAGUGGUUGGAAGAAAAACAAAACGUGCAAUAGUAUCUACGAAGCAGAUCUGGGUACACUACAGAUAAAAACUAGAGGACACAUAAUUUUAUUUGUUGCAGCCACAUUCAGAAAGCCUCUGGAACAUCCGAUUGAAUUCCCAAUUAUGAAGUUACUGAAGGAUCAAUUGUAUCUGAUGAUUAAAUUCCUCACGUUAUUGAACCACUCUGAUACCAGAGAAGCCAUGUUAGCCGGCAGAGGUCUUUAUUUUCCAUAAGCUAGGAUCUAAAUGGGAUUCUGUUUUUUCGUCACACUUAUUUCUUACUUUGUCAUAAACAAUGCGGGAUUAUAAAUAAUUUAUGAACGAUCACAAUAAUGCAUGUUUCAGGUUUCCAACUUUUCUUUCCCCACACGUUAUCUCAUGAACCAAACAGAAUCAAGACGAGGGUAUGUAAUUUUUACAUUAAAAAAAAAUUUUUACAGAAUCGUUUCAUGAGAAUGAAGAGCGUGAAUCCAGUAGGCCACCGACCCCAUACCAUGAGCUGAAAAGACGGUCUCCCUUGUCUGAUUUGGAAAACUGAAAGCUUCUAUAAGGAGUAGCUUAAUGAAACAAUGCUCACUGAAUGAGCAUAAUUUAUAUAAUAGGUAAAACUGAGCAGAUUUCAAGUAAAAUACUAUAUAAAGAUUGAUGGACACAAAAUUUUCAGCAGAAAACAGAACAGAGAACAUAAAUUGGCAAGAACAAAUAGGAAUUUGAGUUCAUUUCCAGGAGUAUCGGUCAGAUUAUUCGUGGCAAUGUUAAAUCAUUAGGAACAUUGCCAUGCCAAAAUUCAUCAUUCUCAUGAAAAGAAACAUAAACCUCCAAUACAGCCCUAUACACAUUCUGAGAAAUCAUAAACUCCCUCACCCCAAUAUCUCUCGAAUUCUCAAUCUCAAACGAGAUUCCAUCACUCAAUGGCAAAAUUUCACCAAAUGGGCAAGAUCGAAUCAGCCUUGGACCCGUAUCCAGAUAUCAAAACAUUAGAACCGUUCCCGUGAUCAUUAAUAUCGACAUCAACAGGGUAAAACUGCAGAGUUGUAUCCAUUGAUACGCACCAGUAUAAGUAAUAUCAAUAAGAUUGCUAGGAUAAACAACUAAAGUUUUUAGCCUCAUUUUUAACAAGCAAAGAAUAAUGCCUCGUUAAAUCCUUCUUAACACUCCAAACAAUACUUAGAUCAAAAUCAUUCAGACAAACAUCACAGAAAACGUUCAUUGGAGCCCACGACAAACAUACAAGUUCAAAAACAUCACAGAAAACAUUCACUGGAGCCCAUGACAAACACACCAGUUCUAUAAAUGCCAGUGUACAACCAGGCCAUUUAAACCGAAAAGACAAAAUGUCACUAAACCCAAAAAAAAAAAAAAAAAAAAAAAAAGCAGAGCCAGACAGUUUUCAAGCUUGAUCAUCUUGCUGCCUCUUAUCAUAACCAGCCUUAAAAGCCAAAAGCUUAGUUUCCAGCAACUAGUUUGUCUUCCCUUCCCUUAGCGUAACCGUGCUCGAACCCGGAACUUGACAUUUCUUCCAUUGCUUAAGGUGUUGCUUGAAAACUGUUAAAAAGCCCACUUAAGGUGAAGAAGAAGGAAAAACAAACUCAAGCUUAUACAGAGCAACAAUGCCACGUCAGCAUUUCAUGGUAUCAAAGCUAGAAAUGGCCAGCUCAAGCACUACAAUUUCGAAUCAAUCAGUUCUCAAUCCAAAUCAAUCUUCUCAAAUAUCAUUUGCCUUUGUUCCAACUGUAAAGCUUGAUCACUCUAAUUUUCUUCCAUGGCGAAAACAAGUCUUAACGUCUAUCAGAGGAAAUCGUCUUGGAAGCUUCAUCUCAGAACCACAGAUUAUUCCAUAUCAAUAUCUUUCUAAUUCAGGAGUUGAUGGAUCUAUUGAAAAGGUUGAAAAUCCGGCAUACAUUAAUUGGCAAGCACAAGAUCAAACUCUCCUUGGAUGGCUGCUUUCUAUAAUUAGCAAAGGUAUAUUAAGUUCAGUUAUGAACUAUGAUACUUCCUUUAAUGAUUGGCCAUCUAUUGUGAAGCAAUUUGGAGUCAAAUCUGAGGCCAAAAUAAUGCAACUUCGUUAUGAAAUGAAUAUCUUGAGGAAAGAAUCGAUGUCUGUUGAAGAGUAUUGUGCUAAAAUGAAAAUGCUUGCUAAUAAGCUUGCCUGUGCUGGUGAUAACAUAAUUGAAAAGGAUCUGUUGAUGCGGAUUUUGAAUGGAUUAGGUCCUGAUUUUCUAGAUUUGACCUCAAUUAUCACUACUAAUAAAAUGAGAUAUGAUGAUGCCUAUGCUUUGCUAUUAACACAUGAAGCAAGGCUUGAGCAAAAACCAAAGUGAUAAGACAAUGCUUAAUGCAAAUUAUAGUCAUAUGAAUGUCAAUUACAGUCAUGCUAGAGGUAACCUUAAAAGAGGUUCAUAUGGUAAUCCAUUUGGAAUCAAAGGACCUAGAGGCAUGUUCUUUAACUCAUAUCCUAGAGGUUUUCCAGCUAGAGGUGGUCAUUUUGGUGGUUUUAGUAGAGGACAAGCUAUGCAAUUCUAUAGGCCAUCACUUAUGAAAAGUAAUUCUUCCCAUUCUACUAUAGUACCUUCUAUGCAAUCUAAUAAGUUUGAUGAAUCAAUUUCCAUUUGUCAAAUAUGUCAUAAGCAAGGGCAUACAGCUGAUGCUUGUUGGCAUAGAUAUGAUGAUGCUCACCUGGUAUCAUUCAAUCAUUUUGAUAAGAGUAAGAUGAUGGGGCCUAGAGCUGCUUAUAUGACAAGUUAUGAGUCAUCCUCUAUUUAUAUGCAACUUGUUGAAGAUCAUUAUGCAACUCCUUAUUCAAGCUAUGACUUUAUGUACUAUCCAUCAGAAGCCAUUCAACUUGAAGCUUAUGUGGAAAAUUAUGAAGGAUCUACUGAUGAAUGGUAGACAGUGGUGCCACACAUCAUUUGACUAAUAACAUGGCCAACAUGAAUGUUAGAGAAGAAUUUAAAGGAUCAGAUUAACUGAUCAUUGGCAAUGGACAAGGUUUGCUCAUAACUCAUAUUGGUGAUGCUUGUUUUAGUUAUAAAGGAUGAAGUGCUGUAUAUAAUCACAUACAUAUAAUGCUUAAAGACAUUAUUAGUUCCUUCCAUCACAAAGAACUUGAUAAGUAUAUCCAAAUUAACAACUGACAAUAACCUUUUUGUUGAAUUUGUUGGUAAUGUCGGUUAUGUGAAGGAUUUACUGAAGAAACAAGUGCUACUACAAGGACUUGCUGAGAAAUGAUUGUACAAAUUGCUCUUAAAACCAUCCCAAUCAUUUGCUUCAUCUUUCUUAUGUCAAUCCACUUUUAUUAAACCACUAUCAAUGUUGUCUGCAUGUUAUUUCAAUUCUCAUGUUCAAACUGCUAGUCAAAAUAAUGUUCCCAAUUCUGUUUCUUCUUGUGAUACAUCAAUGAAUUCUCAUGUUUCCAAUGAGUCUCUGAAUAAUGUCACUCCCUGUAAUAAACAAAUCAAUAAAAUUGUUCUUUAUCAUAGGCGUUUUGGUCAUCCAAAUCAACAGAUAUUAAUGUAUUUACUUAAAAAUGUUCAUGACAUUAAUCUCUCAAGCAUGUCAGUAAACCAAGCACUUAAACAUAUUUAUGAGGCAUGUCAGACGGGUAAGAAUCAUAGAAUUCAUUUUCCAGCCAUAGAAACCAAAACCACAAAGAUCCAUGAACUAAUCCAUACAGAUCUAUAGGGUCCUUCACAUGUUCUUUCCAGAGAUGGUUUUACCUAUCAUCUAAGCUUUGUUGAUGAUUUCAGUAAGUAUACUUGGAUUUAUCCUUUAAAACUGAAAUAAGAGGCCUUAGAGGUUUUCAACUUGUUCAAAUUACAAGUUGAAAAUCAAUUUGAUACCAUUAUCAAAGCAUUGCAAUCUGAUUGAGGAGAAGAAUACAGAUCAUUCACUUCAUUCUUAAAUCAGAGUGGAAUCAUCUUUAGACAUUCUUGUCCUUAUACAUAUCAUCAAAAUGGAUUAGUGGAAAGAAAAUAUAGGCAUAUUAUUGAGUUAGGUGUCACCUUGUUAGCUCAAGCUAAACUUCCUUUCAAAUUUUAGUGGGAUGCCUUUCAUACAGUCGUGUAUCACAUUAACAGGUUACCUUAUGUAAUCUUACAAUUUCUUACCCCAUAUGAAAAGCUCUUCAAUUAUAAGCCUGAUUCUAGUAUGCUCAAGUAUUUUGGCUGCACAUGUUAUCAUUACUUAAGAGAUUAUAAUAAGCACAAGUUUGCUUAUCAUUCAAGUAAAUGCAUUUUUAUUGGUUUUAGUCCUUCACAUAAGUGAUAUAAAUGUCUACAUUCCUUAGGGCACAUCUAAAUAGUCAGGCAUGUAACAUUUUAUGAAAGUUCAUUUCCUUAUUCUACUAAUCCUAUUUUUACUUCAAAAGAGUUUGUUUCUUAUUCUAAUUUAUUUCUUACUGCCCAGCAAGUUUAUCAUUUAUCUACUCUACCUAUCACUUCAUCUAUUGAUAAUUGUAGCUCAUACAAUCCGGACUCUGCAAAUUCUUUAAGCAAUAGAUCUCAACAUUCAGAAAAUCCUCAUCAGAAUAACAGCUUACUUCUUUUACCACAACCAACUUCAACAAACACACACCUUUCUACUCAAACAACUUUAUCUCCACGUCAUAUUGAACCCUCUACUCAAUCGCCAUCACUUCAACCUAUUUCUCAACUUCCACUACAUAUAACCACACCACCAGUAACUAGGGAUGGUAGGGAAAUCCGGGUCUAGCCCUCAUCCGCAAGGAUCCGAAAAAUCUGGAUCUACAUUUUUAAAAAUACAGAUCUGGAUUUGAAAAACUCAAAUCCUCACAGAUCUGAAUGCAGAUCCCGAUGCACUUGCAUCUAGAAAUCAGAAUAUCCAAAUCCGGUUGUUAUUUUAAAUUAAAAUAUAUAUUAACUUAAAUUAAAAAAAUCUAAUCCCUAACUGUUUGGCUAUCAGUGUCGGUGUCUCUCGCUGGUCACUGCUUUGGUUCCCUCAUUCAACUUUCCCACACACACUCACCUCACCAGCAGCCGUAAGUCUCGCUUUUGACCGGUGGCCGACUCGCCGUCUUCCUUGCAGCUUGCUGGAGCUUCGCCUGAUCUGUCGUUGAAGCUCAUCUGAUCUGUUGUCGAAGCUCGCCUGGCUGUCCAAGGCUCCAAGCCGCGCGGAGCUUGUCGAAGGCUCGCUACCUUACUGUGACGCUGCUUGGCUUUUUGCUCCCUUAUUUCAAUUGCUUUUCUAUUUUUUCUAUUAAAUACAUGGCUUUUUCUGGUUAAUAAUUUGGUAUUGUGGUUGAUUAUUUAAUUGUAUUUAAUGAGUUUAAUUUAAUGUAAAUUUGUUUAAAUUUGAAAAUGUUGCUAGCUUAAUUUAAAUUUUUUUAUUAAUAACUUGGUAUUGCGGUUAAAUUGUUGAAUUUUUAAAUUGUUAAUUGUUGAUGUUAUAUGUUAUUUAUGUUAAAUUGUUAAUUGUUGGAUUGUAAUUAAAUUUUAUUCGAUAUUAUUAAUUUAAUUGUUAAAUUGUUAAAAUUUUAAAUUAUAUUUAUUUAACUUUAAGUUUUGUGGAUUCGGAUAUCCGGAAUAUCCGCCCGGAUCCAGUGUAAAUUUUACCUGCAUCUGGAUCCGCAAAAUAAAUUACGGAUCCGGAUAUGAAAAAGGCAAUCGGGAUCUGGAUCCAGAUUUUGCCAACCUUACCAGUAACCUGUCCUAAAACCAAUAAUCAUCACAUGACAACCAGAAGUAAGUAUGAUAUUUUCAAACCUAAACUAUACACUGCAACACUCAUUCAUAAAGAACCUGAUAUUGUAUCUGAAGCUUUACAAGAUCCUAAAUGAUAUGAAGCUAUGAAAGAAGAAUAUGCAGCCUUAAUGAAAAAUGACACAUGAUCUCUAGUACCAAGAGCAGCUAAUCAUCAUAUAGUUGACAACAAAUGGGUGUAUAGAGUGAAGUAUAACACUGAUGGUAGUGUGGCUAAGUAUAAAACUAGAUUAGUUGCCAAAGGAUUUCAACAGAUUGUAGGAGUCAACUAUUUUAAAACCUUUAGUCCAGUGGUCAAACCAGUAACUGUCAAAGUAGUUUUGUGCUUGGCAGUGAUGAAUGGAUAGUAUAUCAGGCAAGUUGAUGUUAACAAUGCUUUCUUUAAUUGUGAAUUAACAGAAGAGGUUUACAUGUCUCAACCAGAAGGUUUCAUUGAUAAAAAGAAACGUGACUUUAUGUGCAAACUACAUAAAUCUUUGUAUGGCCUUAAACAAGCUCUUAGAGUUUGGUAUGACAAGUUGAAAAGUUGUUUGCUUCAAUGGGGUUUUAUCACCACCACCUCUCAUACAUCUCUCUUCAUAAAACGAAACCAAGCCUCUGUAAUUCUUAUUUUGAUCUAUGUUGAUGGCAUCUUGAUUACUGGACAGAACAACAUUGAAUUGGAGGAAUUUAUAGCUAAGUUCAGCACAACAUUUGCUUUGAAAGAUCUUGGUGUAUUAUCAUAUUUUCUUGGUAUUGAAGUGUUAUAUGAUACAUGUUGUCUAUACUUAUCUCAGAAGAAGUACAUUAAGGAUUUGUUAACUAAAUUUGAAAUGCUUGAAUGUAAGGGUAUUGACACUCUAAUGAGUACAGGUUCAAAGUUACAGAAAACUGUACAAGGUGAGCAGGGCUAUUUUCUUGAAGAUCCUACACAUUACAGAAGUAUUGUUGGGGGAAUGCAGUACUUAGUCUUAACUAGACCUAAUAUUGCAUUUGCUGUCGACAAAUUAAACCAAUAUGUCUCUGGACUUACAUUGCGACACCUCAUGGCAUGCAAACGAGUAAUGAGAUACUUGAAAGCAACUCAAGACUAUGGCCUCAAGUUUGUUAGCAAUGGAGAAGUGAAACUCACAGGCUUUACUGAUGCUGAUUAGGCAUAUGAUUUGGAUGAUAGAAAGUCUAUUGGUGCUUAUUGUAUCUAUAUAGACGAUAAUCUGAUAUCUUGGUCAUCCAAGAAACAAUCUGUUAUCACUAGAUCAAGUGCAGAAAGUGAGUACAGGGCUUUAGCUUCAGACAAUGCAGAAAUAAGUUGGCUACAAUCAUUAUUUUCUGAACUGGGAGUAUGUUGUACAGAGAAGCCUACAAUUUAGUGUGAUAAUGUAAGUGCUACUGAAUUGGCCAGAAAUCCAGUCUACCACUCAAGGACAAAGCGCAUUGAAAUUGAUAUGCAUUUUAUCAGAAAUAAAGUAAUUGAAGGUGAAGUCAAUAUCUAUUAUAUUCCAAGUAAGGAACAAAUUGCUGACAUUAUGACUAAACCACUUUCAUUUAUUCAUUUCAAUUACCUAAGAACCAAACUCAAUGUACUUCCUUAUCCCUUGAGUUUGAGGGGGAUGUUAAAGUAGCUCAUUAUUCAGAACUUAAGGUGAAGAAGAAAGAAAAAAAAACUCAAGCUUAUACAGAGCAACAAUGCCACGUCAGUAAUGGUUGUUAAGAAGAAUGCCAAAUCAUAUUACAGCUCAACAUCAGUUUGUUAGAUCAUUAUUAACGUACAAUGCAUAUGUAACAAAAAUAUAGUUAGUUUAAUAAUUAGUUACAAAUUGUUAUUGAGCAUGAAUAAAUACAGAGCUGUAACAAUUGAUUGGUUAAUGAAUGAAAUGUUACGGAAUUAAUUAGAAAUAUUCUCUUUGAGAUUCUCUCAAGCCAAACAAAAGUUUCUUCAUUUCUUUCAAAAACCUCUCAAUAUUUCUUCUCUCCUCCCACCAUUUUUCUUCUCCAAUGUGUCAAGCUGCUUAAGGAGACUUUUGUUCUCCUCUUUGACUUCCGUUAACUUCUUCCUCUUUUGAUCUGCUUAGCAGUGCCUUUCAUAACCCCAUCUUCUGCCUUAUCUAGUGCCACCUCUAAGGAAGAAAAACUUCUUUUGACUUUCUCCAAAGCCUCUGCCAACUGCUUGUUGUCAGCCAUUGCUAUAUCAAAGUUUCCCUCUAGAGCUUCAUAGUAUACGAACACUUUCACAAUAUCACAAUUAAUUUGUUCAAUCAGGUCUUUAUCAUUAAAUGAUCUAUAAUAAUCUUUCAUGUUACUCCUCUUGUAGUCAGAUUUGUGAGCGGUGUCUACUCUGCUCCUUUUUAUUAUUUGGUAUCCAUCAAUUUCCGACUGGCAUUUGCGCUCCUGCAAUCUGCUAAAUCAUAUCCGAAAAAUGAAAAAUUAAAAGUAAUUCGCGGUCAGAGAUGACGAUUAAGGAGGUGAUAAUUAAACCACGAGAUCAUAAUUAAUGAGGCGAUAAUUUGAAUAAAAAUAAACAAAAUUUAUAUAGUGAUAUGAAGCUCAAUCAGUAUUGACUAACUCUAAACUGAAUAAAAAUUGAAUAUGUGAGGAGGAAAUUGAAAAAGAAAUCGACAGACUAAUAAAGGAAAACAACAACGAAACAAAAACAUGAAAAAUGAGAGCAUAUAAUCGGAAUCACCAAAGCAAAAACGGAAAGCGAAUAAAAAUGAAACAGAAACUUAGGAAACAAAAGGAAAUGAGGCUUACUCUGUGUUAGGUUUGUUACGAGUGAGCUCUUUUGGUCUUGUCAUGACCUCUUUCUUCGAAGAAACAGAUAACGAUUUAAGAGAGAAUUCAAAUGAAAUUUGUUAAACUAAAUUAUGAAAGGCCCAGAAUCCAUGAAAAAUAUAGGCCCAAUUAAAAUAUUGCACAUAAAAUAAUCUAGACUUAUUCUCUAUAAGAACGGUAAAGGUAUUUAAGAUUCUAACAAAAGUAUUUAAAUGCAAGAUAUGAAAAAACAUAAAAAAAUGUGAUUCAUAAAGGAAAAACCUAGGUCUAUUCUUUAUAAAGAAUGACCUAACUAUACAAAGAAUGACAUAGGUCCACUCUUUACAAAGAAUGAUCAACGUCCACUCUUUACAAAGAAUGACCAACGUCCACUCUUUACAAAGAAUGACCUAGGUCCACUCUUUAAAAAAAAUAUCUUAGGUUUACUCUUUAUAAAGAAUAACCUAGGUCCAAUCUUUACAAAGAAUUAAAUAAGUCCCCUAUUUACAAAGAAUGACAUAGGUGCAUUUUUUACAAAGAAUGAAUAAGGUCCACUCUUUACAAAGAACAACCAAGGUCCACUCUUUACAAAGAACGACCAAAGUCCACUCUUUACAAAGAACGACCAAGGUCCACUCUUUACAAAAAAUGACCAAGGUCCACUCUUUACAAAAAAUGACCAAUGUCCACUCUUUACAAAAAAUGACCAAGAUCCUCUCUUUAUAAAAAAUGAAUAAGAUCCUCUUUUUAUGAGGAACAAAUUGCUGACAUUAUGACUAAACCACUUUCAUUUAUUCAUUUCAAUUACCUAAGAACCAAACUCAAUGUACUUCCUUAUCCCUUGAGUUUGAGGGGGAUGUUAAAGUAGCUCAUUAUUCAGAACUUAAGGUAAAGAAGAAAAAAAAACAAACUCAAGCUUAUACAGAGCAACAAUGUCACGUCAGCAAUGGUUAUUAAGAAGAAUGUCAAAUCAUAUUACAGCUCAGCAUAAGUUUGUUAGAUCAUUAUUAACGUACAAUGCAUAUUUAACAAAAAUAUAGUUAGUUUAAUUGUUAGUUACAAAUUGUUAUUGAGCAUGAAUAAAUACAGAGCUGUAACAAUUGAUUGGUUAAUGAAUGAAAUGUUAUGGAAUUAAUUAGAAAUAUUCUCUUUGAGAUUCUCUCAAGCCAAACAAAAGUUUCUUCAUUUCUUUCAAAAACCGCUCAAUAUUUCUUCUCUCCUCCCACCAUUUUUCUUCUCCAGUGUGUCAAGCUGCUUAAUGAGACUUUUGUUCUCCUCUUUGACUUCCGUUAACUUCUUCCUCUUUUGAUCUGUUUAGCAGUGCCUUUCAUAACCCCAUCUUCUGCCUUAUCUAGUGCCACCUCUAAGGAAGAAAAACUUCUUUUGACUUUCUCCAAAGCCUCUUACAACUGCUUGUUGUCAGCCAUUGCUAUAUAAAACUUUCCCUCUAGAGCUUCAUAGCAUACGAACACUUUCACAACAUCACAAUUAAUUUGUUCAAUCAGGUCUUUAUCAUUAAAUGAUCUAUAAUAAUCUUUCAUGUUACUGCUCUUGUAGUCAGAUUUGUGAGCGGUGUCUAGUCUGCUCCUUUUUAUUAUUUGGUAUCCAUCAAUUUCCGACUGGCAUUUGCGCUCCUGCAAUAUGCUAAAUCAUAUCCGAAAAAUGAAAAAUUAAAAGUAAUUCGUGGUCAGAGAUGACGAUUAAGGAGGUGAUAAUUAAACCACGAGAUCAUAAUUAAUGAGGCGAUAAUUUGAAUAAAAAUAAACAAAAUUUAUAUAGUGAUAUAAAGCUCAAUCAGUAUUGACUAACUCUAAACUGAAUAAAAAUUGAAUAUGUGAGGAGGAAAUUGAAAAAGAAAUCGACAGACUAAUAAAGGAAAACAACAACGAAACAAAAACAUGAAAAAUGAGAGCAUAUAAUCGGAAUCACCAAAGCAAAAACGGAAAGCGAAUAAAAAUGAAACAGAAACUUAGGAAACAAAAGGAAAUGAGGCUUACUCUGUGUUAGGUUUGUUACGAGUGAGCUCUUUUGGUCUUGUCAUGACCUCUUUCUUCGAAGAAACAGAUAACGAUUUAAGAGAGAAUUCAAAUGAAAUUUGUUAAACUAAAUUAUGAAAGGCCCAGAAUCCAUGAAAAAUAUAGGCCCAAUUAAAAUAUUGCACAUAAAAUAAUCUAGACUUAUUCUCUAUAAGAACGGUAAAGGUAUUUAAGAUUCUAACAAAAGUAUUUAAAUGCAAGAUAUGAAAAAACAUAAAAAAUGUGAUUCAUGAAGGAAAAACAUAGGUCUAUUCUUUACAAAGAAUGACCUAACUAUACAAAGAAUGACAUAAACCCACUCUUUACAAAGAAUGAUCAACGUCCACUCUUUACAAAGAAUGACCAACGUCCACUCUUUACAAAGAAUGACCAACGUCUACUCUUUAAAAAAAUGUCUUAGAUCCACUCUUUAUAAAGAAUGACCUAGGUUCAAUCUUUACAAAGAAUGAUGUAAGUCCCCUAUUUACAAAGAAUGACAUAUGUGCACUUUUUACAAAGAAUGAAUAAGGUCCACUCUUUACAAAGAACGACCAAGGUCCACUUUUUACAAAGAACGACCAAGGUCCACUCUUUACAAAAAAUGACCAAGGUCCACUCUUUACAAAAAAUGACCAAUGUCCACUCUUUACAAAAAAUGACCAAGAUCCUCUCUUUAUAAAAAAUGAAUAAGAUCCUCUCUUUAUGAGGAACAAAUUGCUGACAUUAUGACUAAACCACUUUCAUUUAUUCAUUUCAAGCUGCUUAAGGAGACUUUUGUUCUUCUAUUUGACUUCUGUUAACUUCUUCCUCUUUUGAUCUGCUUAGCAGUGCCUUUCAAAGAAAUUUAUUAAACUAAAUUAUGAAAGACCCAGAAUCCAUGAAAAAUAUAGGUCUAAUUAAAAUAUUGCACAUAAAAUAAUCUAGACUUAUUCUCUAUAAGAACGGUAAAGGUACUUAAGAUUCUAACAAAAGUAUUAAAAUGCAAGAUAUGAAAAAACAUAAAAAAUGUGAUUCAUGAAGGAAAAACCUAGGUCUAUUCUUUACAAAGAAUGACCUAACUAUACAAAGAAUGACAUAGGUCCACUCUUUACAAAGAAUGAUCAACGCCCACUCUUUACAAAGAAUGACCAACGUCCACUCUUUACAAAGAAUGAUCUAGGUCCACUCUUUAAAAAAAAUAUCUUAGGUUUAUUUUUUAUAAAGAAUAACCUAGGUCCAAUCUUUACAAAGAAUUAAAUAAGUCCCCUAUUUACAAAGAAUGACAUAGGUGCACUUUUUACAAAGAAUGAAUAAGGUCCACUCUUUACAAAGAACGACCAAGGUCCACUCUUUACAAAAAAUGACCAAUGUCUACUCUUUACAAAAAAUGACCAAGAUCCUCUCUUUAUAAAAAAUGAAUAAGAUCCUCUCUUUAUGAGGAACAAAUUGCUGACAUUAUGACUAAACCACUUUCAUUUAUUCAUUUCAAGCUGCUUAAGGAGACUUUUGUUCUCCUCUUUGACUUCCGUUAACUUCUUCCUCUUUUGAUCUGCUUAGCAGUGCCUUUCAUAACCCCAUCUUCUGCCUUAUCUAGUGCCACUUCUAAGGAAGAAAAACUUCUUUAUGACUUUCUCUAAAGCCUCUGCCAACUGCUUGUUGUCAGCCAUUGCUAUAUUCAAUUUUCUCUCUCGAGUUUCGUAGCAUACAAACACUUUCACAAGAACAAAAUUAAUUUGUUCAAUCAUGUCUUUUUCAUUAAAUGAUCUAUAAUCAUCUUUCAUGUUAUUGCUCUUGCAGUCAGAUUUACAAAGAAUGAUCAACGUCUACUCUUUACAAAAAAUGACCUAGGUCCACUCUUUACAAAGAAUGCCCUAGGUCCACUCUUUAAAAAGAAUGUCUUAGGUCCACUCUUUAUAAAGAAUGACCUAGGUCCAAUCUUUACAAAGAAUGACAUAAGUCCACUAUUUACAAAAAAUGACAUAUGUCCACUUUUUAUAAACAAUAUAUAGGUCCACUCUUUACAAAGAAUGACCAAGGUCCACUCUUUACAAAGAAUGACCAAUGUCCACUCUUUACAAAAAAUGACUAAUAUCCUCUCUUUAUAAAAAAAUGAAUAAGAUCAUCUCUUUAUAAAAAAUGAAUAAGAUCCUCUCUUUAGCCUGAAGAUAAUGCUUAUACUUUUAUUUGAUUGUUGUCAUUAAUCUGAUGGAAGAAGUAAACACAAUUUUCAAAAAAAAAAAAAGAUUUUCAAUUUGAGUUUGAAAUUUUACUAAACUUUUAUCGUUUAAAUUAAUAGGGCCUAGCAAUAAGCUGGUUGGGGGGUGUGAUUGACACCAAAAAGUGUGCAUUUAAUAAGGAUGAAAUGAUUAGUUUUUCACUUAUUAUGUCGAUUAAUGCGUUCAUUAUUUCUAAAUUAUUUUAAUACUCCCAAAUAUAUUUUAUGUUAAAUUAAUUCACAAUUUGUUAAUUUUUAUCUUAUAAAUAAUUUUCAGGAAUAAAGAUGGAAUUGGAAUUGAAAGCGGGAAUAAAGAAGAACUACUGGAACACAAUUGAGGAGAUGUAAUAAUAAAAAAAUAAAAACAAAAAAAUAAAAAUAAAAACAAAAAAAGAACAAAGGACAAAAGAGCAAAAGGCAACCAUGUUUUGAUUGCAUGUGAUGGUCAGAAGGACAUCACGCCUCCUGGCCAUCACACUUCUCAACAUUCAUUUAAUUUAUAAAAAAAAUAAAAUAAUAAUAAAUUAAAUAAGAAUAGAAAGAAUGAAGAUGAGGCAAUUGUUGCCUGUAAAAGCCGGAGUAUUGAGAAGCCAGAGAACUAUUAUUUUUUGAGGAGCUUAAGCCGAGAGAGAAUAGUACAGCUCAAGAAUUUCUUUCUUUCUUUGUUUCUUUUCUUUUCUUGUUUCCGUUUGUAAUCAACUUUCUUGUAAUGUAUUUCAAAAGUUUAUCAAAUGAAAGAGUGUUGUGUUUUCUUUCAAUAUGAAUAACUAAUUUUAUUAAGCUGAGGUGAAGCUCAAUGUUUCAAACUAUUAAAUUUAUUAUUUUCUCAAAUGAGUUUAAAGUUUAUUUUAUUCUUUUCUAGUUAUUUUUAUGUCAUAUUAAUUUAUAAAUUUAUUUGGAUAUAUAUGGUAUUUUGACAUAAUGUCGACACAUUAAUAUAGUAUGGCACAUUAGGUACUUUAUUUCAUAUUUAUCCACACACAUAGUUAGUUGAGAAUUAAAUGAUAUAAUAAUUAAUUGGAAAAAGUGAGGCUAAAAAUGAGAGAGUAUUAAAAUUAUAGUUUGAAUACUAAGAGUGGAUCUCGUAGCCUUAGCUUAUUUUUAAAUCAAUUUCAAAUAAUUUCUUUGCCCAGCAAUUAAUUUUCUUAGUUGUACUAGAUUUAAAACUCCAUGUAGUUCGACCCCGGUCUCACCGGGUUAUAUUAUAACUAGACACUCUUAUACUUGAGAGUAAUACACUUUUGAGUCGUGUCAAGUUUUUGACGCCGUUGCCGGGGAGUUUUCUAAAUUUGGUAUUAGUUUGUCUUUACUUUAUUUUUAUUUUAUUUUAAUAUUUUUGUUUUGUCGUUACCAUCUUUCCGGGAUUCUAUUUUAUUAUUUUUUUGUAAAACUUCAGUUAGCACCCCUCUUGUUUUCAAACCUUAACAUUAUCCAUAAAAUUUGUGAGAAACUUCAAUUUAGCCCAGAAAUAUUUGCAAAUCAGUCCCCAAAUCGAAUUUAUUUCUUUAAAUUUCGGGAAUUUACUUUACGCAUUUAUUUUAAAUGGUUGGUUCUACCGCCUGACUGUUAUUUAAAUUUUGUUAAUUUAUGUAUUUUUAUUUAUAUGGUCGGAUCUACUGCCUAACAUUUUAAUUUCAGUUUAUUUAUUUUUGUGCAUUAAUUUAUUUAAUUUUAUGUUUUAUUAUAUGGUUGGUUUUAAAAUACCGCCUAAACUGUUUCUUUUAAUUCCUUUGUUUAUGGUUGGUUUCACCGCCUAAUUUCUUUAUUUUAUUUAUCUUCAGUUUGUUUAUUUUUAUUUCGCAUUUUUUUACUUAUUUAAAUUCCAAUUUAUUUUCAUAUCUUCAAUUUUUCAUUUAGUGUUUUAUGCAUCAUUGGUUUAGCACACAUCAUUAGCAUUGCAUGCGUCGUUGGUCUCGUACAAAUAGUGACAGAUUAAUUAGAAGAUCACCUGCACCACCCUUAAAUAUGGCUGACAUAGGAGCUGAAAAUUUUUCGGAGCACGAAAAUGACCAAGCCUUGCAAAAUCUUCAUGAACAACCUAGGACCCUUAGAGACUUCAUGCAUCCUAUUAGAACAGGGUCACCAUCAUGCAUAGUUUUCCCUCCUGAUGCAUCACGUUUUAAUUUUAAACCUGGUAUCAUUCAACUUCUUCCUACUUUUUAUGGUUUUGAGUCUGAAAAUCCAUAUUUGCAAUUAAAGGAAUUUGAGGAAGUCUGUAAUACAUGUACUGAUCAAAAUUGUAGCAUGAAUAUAAUCAGGCUUAAGUUUUUUCCUUUCUCACUAAAGGAUAAAGCUAAAAUUUGGCUACAAAAUCUUAGGUUAGAAUCCAUCCGAACUUGGGAUGAAAUGCAAGCACAAUUUUUGAAAAAAUUCUUUCCACCCCACAGAACAAAAUCUUUCAAAAGACAAAUCACAACUUUCACUCAAAAACCAGGAGAAACCCUCUACCAAUGUUGGGAUAGGUUUAAAGAACUAUUUAACAUUUGCCCACACCACGGUUUUGAAACAUGGAGAUUGUGUCUUAUUUCUACGAGGGAUUAACAUCUCAAGGUAGACAAGUCGUUGAAAUGAUGUGUAAUGGUGAGUUUAGGGAUAAAAGUCCUGAAGAUGCAUUAGACUAUCUUGAAUAUAUAGCAGAGAAUGCACAACACUGGGAUACAAUUGGGUCUUAUGAGUCAUCAAGUAAACCCCAGUCAUCUCCAUCUGGUGGAGGCAUGCAUAAUCUUAGGGAAGACCAUGAUUUUCAAGCCAAAUUUACAUCCUUAGAUAGAAAAGUUGAAGCAUUAGAGUUGAAAAAGAAUGAUAAUGUAAAGUCUGUUCAAAAUAUUUCAUGUUAUGUUUGCGAUUUUACUGACCAUUCUAUGCAGGACUGUUCAACUUUGCCAGCUCUGAGAGAAAGUUUGCAAGAACAAGUAAAUGUCGUUGACAAUUUCAAAAGGCCUAAUCCAAAUCCAUACUCCCAAACUUACAACUCUGGUUGGAAAAACCACCCAAAUUUCAGUUGGAGAAAUGAUAAUCAUGCACAACCUUCACAACCAGUUCCUCCACAUCAAAAUGUCCAAAAUUCCCAGAGUUACCAACCCUAUGUCCCACCACCAAGAAAAACUCUGGAAGACACAUUGCAUUCGUUUAUUGAAAAAUAAGAGUCAAUCAAUAACCAAACGAUGCAAACCUUAACCAAUUUGAUAGAAAUUAUCUCCAAACUUACAUCUGCUCUGACCAUGCAUGAAAAAGGAAAGUUUCCUGCUCAACCUGAACCAAACCCCAAGAGACAACAAUGUCCUCAAAUGGGAAAUUCAGGAAACCAAAACAUGAGUCAAGUCAAAUCAGUCAUAACCCUUCGUGGUGGUAAAAUGGUCGAAAAACACAUUGUGGACCCUCGUGAAACUAGUAAAGAUUCAUUUUCAGAAAAUAUGGAAGAGUCUGUCGAACCUUUAACCUAUGAAGAAAUAACCAACUCUUCUCCUGUACCCCCAUUUCCUCAAGCACUAAUCAAGCCAAAGAAAUCAGACCACAGUCCAGAAAUUUAUGAAGUUUUUAAAUAAGUAAAGGUCAACAUUCCUCUACUGGAUGUCAUUAAAUAUGUACCUUGUUAUGCUAAAUUUCUGAAAGAUCUGUGCACAGUGAAAAGGAAACAUAAGGUGCAAAAGAGAGCUUUUCUAGCAGAACAUGUAAGUUCCAUUCUCUCAACCAAUAGUGCUUUGAAAUAUAAGGAUCCUGGUUGUCCAAAUAUUUCUUGCACUAUUGGGGAUCAUAAAAUUGGACAUGCUGAUAACUCUAGGAAAUUAGAGUUAUUACAUUAAUUCUAGACUUAAAUCAAGAUCACUUAGAGAACAAAUAAAGUGUUUUUAUUACAUUUUGGUUAUAUUUUGCAUAAACAUUCAUUUUAGUUUAGUCUUAAUAAGUUUUGUUUGAAUAAAAGUAAUUUAUGCUAAAAAUAGGUGCAUAAUUGUAGGUUUUCAGAAAGUCUUAAUUCAUGAAGGGAUGGUGAGACAUUAGAUGAGCAAGAGGAGGAAAGAAGAUGGUCGCAAAAGAAGUAAAGCACAAUCGGGAAUAGUGCAGUAUUAUAGCAGAUGUUAGAGCAACCAGUGCUGUAGCAAUCUGGGAGCAAUGCGGGAGAAAACUUAGGAGCGGGUCAGCUGCAGAAUCGCGAUUUGCAUGUUUCCUAAUGAACUAUUUUUUACGCCCAUGAACUAUUUUUUACCUUAGUUUGCAGUAUAAAAGGGAGGCGUGCACCACAUAGAAAGGCGGCAAAGGAAUUAUCAUUAGAAUCAUUAGAGAGGAAAGGAGAAGAAGAUCAUAAUUGAAAAGUGCUGUUUCGGCAACAUUGAGGAAUCUUGCAGAAUUAUUUGGAUUUACCUUUCACCGUGCUAAACUUAUAUUUAUCUUCUUCCUUUGAUUGUUCUGAUGUAUCCUGUGAACAACAUAUUUAUGUUUGUUUUUCUUAUUCAGAAUAUGAACUAGAUUUGCUUGUAGUUGAGUGACAAACAAUUCAAUGGGUUCUUGACUGUUCUUAUGUGUUGUUAUGUCAUUGUUGUAGCAUUAUACUCUAGUAGUUAUUAUUAAUAUAACUGUUAUUUCAGUUGACCACCCAUUUAAUAGUUCCAGUUAAGAUAGAGCAGCAAAAGGGCAUGUCUUAGCGGACAUUAUUAGAGUAUUAUUUGAUCUUAAUUUAAGUUUCCUGGAUUAAGUUAUCUUGAAUCCCAUAAGGGCUAUACUUGAAGUUAAGAUUUGUGAUACACUAGACAUAGGUGCUCACCUUGUAGGGUGGAGAGACUAAAAGAUCAUAAUGCCAUACCAUAAGUAGAUUAGCAACUGGUCAUUGUUAAUAGAUUUAAGGGUAUGAGAGUUUCAAUAUGCGAUAGCUGAGGAUGCAGAUUAAUUCUGCCCAGUGCUGCAUCACUUGCCGUAACAACUGGUGUUAACAUGAUGAAAAGCAGUCAGCCCAUAAGGAGAGCUUGAUCAUUCAACUACCAUAGUCUCAAUUGAAUCUUAGACACAUUUAAUUUAUUUUAAUUCAUUACAGUACUGUUUUACUUUAUUCUCUCAUAAUCAUCAAUUACAAUAGAACCCACUCUACAUUUGUUAACUUCGGAUUGAAUUUAGUUGCACUAUUGUGAUUGCUAUAGCAUUUCAAGUGACAUCAAUUCCUGUGGAGAUGAUCUUGAAUAUUCAUCACUUUAUUACUUGUUGUGUUCACUUGCACAUUGACAUCAAUAGCAUUUGAUUAUAAAAUUAACCAACACAUGCUCUACUUGAUCUUGGUGCCAGUGUUAAUUUGCUUCCUUACUCAGUUUACCAACAACUCAAUCUCGGUGAGUUAAAACUAACUUCUACCACUCUUUUACUUGCUGAUAGAUCGAUUAAAGUUCCAAGAGAAAUAAUUGAAGAUGUAUUAGUCCAAGUCGAUAAAUUCAUAUAUCCUAUGGAUUUUAUUGUUUUGGAAACGAAACCAAUUGCUAAUUAAUGCAAACAAAUUCCUGUUAUAUUGGGUCGACCAUUUUUAGCUACUGCUAAUACUUUGAUAAAUUGUAGGAAUGGAUUAAUGAAUUUAUCUUUCGGCAACAUGACACUGGAACUCAAUGUGUUCAACAUGUAACAACCUCACCACCAAGAAGAUGAUGAUGAUGAUAAUGAGAAUGAGGAGAUUGAUCUCAUCGAACCAAUCAUUGAGGAACACAUUCAGGAUGAGAAUUUUACAAACUCUGCUGAAAUUUGUUUUGCUGGUUCUUUUGAAUCAAGUAAGGAAUUAGAUUUUGAUACUGCUAACAUAUGUCCUACACUUGAUUCUAUGCAGGUACCUAUAAGUGACGAUGACCAAUCGAACUUUGAAGAUAUGAUACAACCUGAAGAACCAAACGAAGAGGAAGCACCAGAACUCGAAUUAAAGCCCUUACUAGAAGAAUUGAAGUAUGUCUAUCUUGGAGAACAACAGAUAUAUCCGGUGGUAAUUUCUUCCCAGCUCAUGCAUGAUCAAGAAGGUAAGUUGCUAUCUGUACUAAAAAGGAAUAAAACUGCAUUUGGUUGGACCUUAAAAGACAUAAAAGGCAUUAAUCCUUUAAAAUGCCAAAACAACCCGUCAACCACAAAGAAGAUUAAACCCUCAUAUGAAAGAAGUGGUAAAGAAUGAGGUCCUUAAACUACUAGAUGUAGGAAUUAUCUAUCAUAUCUCUGAUAGUAAAUGGGUAAGUCCAACACAAGUAGUACCAAAGAAAUCUGGAAUAACUGUUGUAAAAAAUGAAAAAGGUGAACUAAUAACUCUAGGAAAUAAGAGUUAUUACAUCCUUUCUAAACUUAAAUCAAGAUCAUUUAGAGAUCAAAUAAGGUGUUUUUAUUACAUUUUGCAUAAACAUUCAUUUGAGCUGAGUUUUAAUAAGUUUUGCUUGAAUCAAAGUAAUUUGUGCUAAAAACAGGUGUAUAAUUGUAGGUUUUCAGAAAGUCUUAAUUCAUGAGGGGAUGUUGAGACAUUAGAUGAGCAAGAAGAGGAAAGAAGAUGGCCACAAAAGAAGUAAAGCACAAUCGAGAAUAGUGCAGUGUGGUUGCGGAUGUUAGAGCAACCAGUGCUGUAGCAAUCUGGGAGUAAUGUGGGAGAAAACUUAGGUGUGGGUCAGCCACAAAAUUGCAAUCUGCAUGUUUCCUAAUUUAACGCAUGCACGCUCAUGGGCUUUUGUUUACCCUAAUUUGCAAUAUAAAAGGGAGGCGUUCAUGACAUAGAAAGGCGGCAAGGGAAUUAUCAUUAGAUUAGUUUCAAAUGAAAGAAGAAGAAGAUCAGAAUUGGAGAGUGCUGUUUCGGCAACAUUGAAGAAUAGUGCAGAAGUAUUUGGAUUUGUUUUUCACCGUGCUUAACUUAUAUUUAUCUUCUUCCUUUAAUUAUUUGAUGUAUCCAUUGAACAAUAUAUUUAUGUUUAUUUUUCUCAUUCAGAAUAUAAACUAAAUUUACUCGUAGUUGAGUGACAAAUAAUCCAUUGGGUUCUUGACUGUUCUUAUAUGUUGUUAUGUCAUUGCUGUAGCAUUUUACUCUAGUAGUUUUUAUGAAUAUAACUGUUAUUUUGGUUGACCACCCAUUUAAUAGUUUCAGUUAAGAUAGAGCAGCACAAGGGCAUAUCUUAGCAGAUAUUAUUAGAUUAUUGCCUGAUCUUAAGUUGAGUUUCCUGGAUUAAGUUAUCUUGAAUCUCAUAAGGGCAAUACUUGAAGUUGAGAUUUGUGACACACUAGACAUAGGUGUUCACCUUGUAGGGUGGAGAGACUAAAGAUCAAAAUGCCAUGCCAUAAGUAGAUUAGCAACUGGUUAUUGUUAGUAGAUUUAAGGGUAUGAGACUUCCAAUAUGCGAUAGCUGAGGAUGCAGAUUUAUUUUGCCCAGUGCUGCAGCACUUGCCGUAAUAACUGGUUCUAAUUUGAUAAAAAAAUAGUCACCCCUAUAAGGAGAGUUUGAUCAUUCAACUACCAUAAUCUCAAUUGAAUUUUAGACAAAUUUCACAUAGUUUAUUUCAUUACGGUAUUGUUUUAUUUAAUUCUCUCACAACCAUUAAUUACGAUAGAAAUUACUUUACAAUUGUUAGCUUCGGCCUUAAGUUGAUUUGCACUAUUGUGAUUGCUAUAGCAUUUCGAGUAACAUCAAUCCCUGUGGAGACGAUCUUGAUUUCUUAUCACUUUAUUACUUGUUGUGUAGACUUGCACAUUGGCAUUGGUAGCAAUUGCUUAUAAAAUUAACCAACAAGUUUUUGGCGCCGUUGCUGGGGAUUGAUUGUUUAUCUUUGAAGUGUGAAGUAAAUCUUGAUAGCGCCAAAUUUGACCUAAUGCAUUCUAUUUAUUGGCAGAUCGGUACGUGCAUGCGCAAAGACGGAUCUGUGGUAUUCCAAUUCGAUCCUGAGAUUGAAAGGACUGUCAGGAGACUGCGAAGAGAACAAAGGAAUUUAAAAACUGUUUCAAGCAUGAAUAAUUUGCAGGAUGCGGGAAAUUUAAAUCCUCACGGACCCUUACAACCAGUCAACAUUCAAGAAGAGCAGAAUGAACAUGCUAAUGAGAGACAGCCAGGCAAUAACAAUAUUAUUUACAUGGCUGAUGACAGACACAAAGCUAUAAGAGAUUAUGUUGUGUUAACUGCUCAAGUUGUACACCCUGGGAUCAUCAGACCUGAAGUAGAAGCUGCAAAUUUUGAGUUGAAGCCAGUGAUGUUUCAAAUGUUGCAAACAGUUGGUCAAUUCAAUGGAUUGGCAAAUGAAGAUCUUCAUCUCCAUCUUAAAUUGUUCUUGGAAGUAAGUGAUGCUUUUAAGAUUGCUGGAGCAACACAAGAUGCCUUAAGGCUGAGGCUUGUUCCUUAUUCCUUAAGAGAUCGAGCAAGACCAUGGUUAAAUUCGUUACCAUCUGAUUCCAUCACUACAUGGAAUGAAUUGGCUGACAAAUUCCUAAUGAAAUAUUUCCCACCGACAAAAAAUGCAAAGUUGCUGAAUGAGAUUACUUCCUUCCAUCAACUUGAAGAUGAGAGUUUGUACGAGGCUUGGGAAAGAUUCAAAGAAUUGCUCAGAAGGUGUCCUCAUCAUGGUAUUCCUUGUUGCAUUCAAUUGGAAACUUUCUACAAUUGGUUGAAUCCGAGUACAAGGUUAAUGGUGGAUGCUUCAGCAAAUGGAGCCCUGUUAUCCAAAUCUUACACUGAAGCUUAUGAAAUUCUGGAGAGAAUUGCCAAUAAUAAUUAUCAGUGGCCUUCAGCCAGGCAACCAACGGCAAGAGGAUCAGCAAGGGUACAUAACAUAGAUGCAAUUACAACAUUAUCAGCACAAGUAACCACAUUGACUAACAUAGUGAAGGCCAUGACAUCUGCUCAAGCAACAACAAAGAAAGUUGCUGAAGUUUCUUGUGUAUACUGUGGUGAAGAACAUGACUUUGAUAAUUGUCCUGAAAAUCCAGCUUCAGUAAGUUAUGUGGGUAAUUUCAAUCGACAACCUCAGAACAACCCAUAUUCAAAUACUUACAACCCUGGCUGGAAACAACACCCAAAUUUCUCAUAGAGCAGUCAGAAUCGAAAUGGUCCAGCAUUGAAUGGACAAAAUAGAAACACACAACCACCUGGUUUUCAUCAGCAGAGUCAAGGGAAAAAACAUAUCAGUCAGGAUCCAAUCACUUCCAUGGAAGCACUGUUUAAGGAAUACAUUGCAAAGAAUAAAGCAAUUGUGCAGAGUCAAGCUGUAUCUUUGAGAAACCUGAAAAACCAAAUGGGACAACUUGCCACAACAAUGAGCAGCAGAACUCAAUGAAGCUUACCUAGCAACACAGAAGACCCUAGGAGAGAGGGCAAAGAACACUACAAAGUAAUUAAUUUGAGAUCUGAAAAAAAUGUUGAUAUCCCAGUUGAUGUAAAAAAAAAUGGGAUGGAAUUCAAUUCAGCACAAAAAUCACCUCAAAAUGGAAGCAUAUUAUAACAACCUCCCCAUCAAGACACUGGUUUCAUGGGCCAAGCUACAACAACUGCAGAAGAGAUUCAACCAGAUUAUGCUGAAAAAGAAGUUGCAACACCAGUAGCCACAACCUACUCCAAACCAAACAAACAGUGUUUGAUACCUCCUGAAGCUACCCAGCAGUUUAGACAUCCACCACCUUUCCCACAAAGGUUCCAGAAGCAAAAAUAAGACAAGCAGUUCAGUAAAUUAUGUGAAGUGCUGAAGUAAUUACACAUAAAUAUACCUUUUGUGGAAGCUUUAGAGUAAAUGCCAAAUUAUGUGAAAUUUCUAAAAGACAUCUUGGCAAGGAAGAGAAGACUGGGAGAGUUUGAAACUGUUGCUUUAACAUAGGAAAGCAGUCAUAUGCUCCAAAGUAAGAUUCCUACAAAAGUGAAAAAUCUAAGAAGUUUUACAAUACCCUGCUCUAUAGGAACUAGGUAUGCUGGCAGAGCACUUUGUGACUUGGGAGCUAAUAUUAAUUUGAUGCCAUUAUCUGUAUUUAAGCAGCUGGGAGUAGGGGAAUGCAGACCAACAACAGUCACUCUGCAAUUAGCAGACAUAUCUCAUGCAUACCCUGAAGGAAAAAUAGAAGAUGUACUGGUAAAGGUUGACAAAUUCAUCUUUCCAGUAGAUUUCAUUGUACUGGACUUUGAAGCUGAUAAAGAGGUACCCAUUAUACUUGGAAGACCUUUUCUAGCAACUGGAAAGACUCUGAUAAAUGUGCAAAAAGGAGAGCUGACCAUGAGAGUAAAUAAUCAGCAAGUCACAUUCAAUGUACUAGAGGCUAUGAGGAACCCUGAUGAAGUAGAAGAUUGCAAUUUUCUAAGUGUAGUGGAUUUUAUGGUAGCAGAUAGAAUGGAUAGAUGCUGCAGUAAUAAAUUCAACAAAGUCACUACCUUUGAGGAUAUAGAAGAGGAAGAUGUUGCAGCAAAUCAGAUAGAUUGGAUGGGAGAAAAGCAAUCUGAUAGGCACAACAUGUUUAUUGAGCAUCUGAACCUUUCAGACAGGGAAGUAAAAACAACUUUACCAUCUAUUGAAUCACCUCUUAGUCUUGAAUUAAAAUUGUUACCUUCACAUUUGAAGUAUGUUGAUCUUGGUCAAAACAAAACACUCCCUGUAAUCAUUUCUUCUACUUUGGAUGUAGGUCAAGAACAGAGUCUAGUGAAUUUACUUGGAAAAUACAGAAGAGCAAUUAGAUGGACCAUGGCAGACAUCAAGGGUAUAAGCCCAUCAAUAUGCAUGCAUAAAAUCCUGUUAGAAGAUUGCUCCAGCAAUUCGGUGGAGUACCAGAGAAGGUUGAACCCUAUAAUGAAAGAAGUGGUGAAGAAGGAAAUCAUCAAAUGGUUGGAUGCUGGAAUUAUAUACCCAAUAUCAGACAGUUCAUGGGUGAGCCCAGUUCAAUGUGUUUCAAAUAAGGGAGGGAUAACAGUAGUAGUUAAUGAGAGGAAUGAACUUAUUCCUACAAGGACAAUGACUGGAUGGAGAGUAUGUAUGGAUUACAGGAAGCUCAACAAAGCCACAAGGAAAGACCAUUUCCCAUUUUCAUUCAUAGAUCAUAUGUUGGACAGACUUGCUGGAAAACAGUACUAUUGUUUCUUAGAUGGGUAUUCAGGCUACAACCAGAUUGUUAUAGCUUCAAAGGAUCAUGAGAAGAUUACAUUUACUUGUUCUUAUGGAACAUUUGCUUUCAGAAGAAUGCCCUUUGGGUUAUGUAAUGCUCCAACAACUUUUUAGAGAUACAUGAUGUCUAUUUUUUAUGAUAUGGUAGAGCAGAAUUUUAAAGUUUUCAUGGAUGACUUCUCAGUUUUUGAAGAAACAUACAAUGAUUGUUUACACAACUUGGAAGAAGUUCUCAAAAGAUGUGAGAUGACCAACUUAGUACUCAAUUGGGAAAAGUGCCAUUUCAUGGUGCAAGAAGGAAUAAUGUUGGGACAUAAGGUAUCCAAGAAUGGCAUUGAGGUAGACAAAGCCAAGAUAGAAGUAAUAGAUAAACUGCCACCUCCAACUUCAGUAAAGGGUAUUAGGAGUUUCUUGGGUCAUGCUGGAUUUUACAGAAGAUUUAUUAAGGAUUUUUCCAAGGUAGCUAAACCACUAUGCUCAUUGCUGGAACAUGACAAACCUUUUCACUUUCACAAGGAUUGCAUUCAAGCAUUUGGAGAGUUAAAGAAAGCUCUUAUCACUGCUCCAGUAGUUAUAUCUCCAUACUGGAAUUUACCAUUUGAACUGAUGUGUGAUGCCAGUGACCAUUCUGUGGGAGCAGUAUUAGGGCAAAGAAAGGAUAAUGUCUUUCACUCCAUAUACUAUGCCAGCAAAACUCUUACUCAAACUCAGAUCAAUUACACCACUACAAAGAAAGAGUUGCUAGCUGUACUAUUUGCUUUUGCAAAUUUAGAGCUUACUUGGUGGGUACUAAAGUGAUUGUUUACACAGACCAUGCAGCCAUCAAAUACUUAAUCUCAAAGAAGGAUGCCAAACCAAGAUUAAUCAGAUGGAUCUUAUUAUUUCAAGAAUUUGAUCUGGAAAUUAAAGAUAGAAAGGGGACUGAGAAUCAAGUGGCAGACAACUUGUCACGGCUGGAAGCAGACACUAGUACUAGGGGUGGGCAAUUUCGGAUUCGGAUGAAUCCGAUCGGAUUUCGGAUAAUUCGGAUUAAAAAAAAAUUCAUCCGAAUUUUCAUCCGAUUCGAAUCCGAUCCGAAUUGGAUCGGAUGAGUUUGGAUUUCGGAUUAAUUUUCAGAUUCGGAUUAUUUUUCGAAUUCGGAUUAUAUUUUGGAUUCGGAUUAAUUCGGAUUGAAAUCGGAUUUAGACCUUUUUCACAAUUCUCACAAAAAAAUUAUGAAAUCUAUAAUUAAUGAAAACUUACUAACCAUUAAAAAAAAAAAGAAAAUGAAAACAAGCUAACAAAUGACAAUCUAGAUUGUAUUGUUUCCUUAACAAUAUGGCAUUGACAUAUACCAAGAAAACAAGCACUCCCAUUUCAUUUAAUUAGUAAUGCUCUUACAAGUUAGGUGCAUAAACAUUACUCUAAGUCCAAGCCUCCAAAUAAGCAACAUAAAAUAAACAUUGCUCCAAGUCUCUAAAUAAACAACACAAAAUAAACUUUGCUCCAACUCUAAGUCUCCAAGUAAACAACACAAAAUAAACAUUACUUCAAGUCUCCCAACAAACAACACAAAAUAAACAAUUAAACAUUACUCCAAGUCUCUAAAUAAAUAAACAACACAAAAUCACAAAAUAAAUAUUAUCAUUAUAUCAUCCAACAAUAAAAUAAACCAAAAUAAAAAUUAUCAUCCAAAAACAUUUAGAUAGACUACAAGUUCCUCAAACCAAAAGUACAAUAACAUCAAAUUAAACUCACAACACACUUUGAUGAGUCCUUAACCUUUGCUUUCCAACUACCAACUUCAAUUUUCCUAACAUAAGAUCACAAACAAUUAUCAUGUUACAAUUGACUUAAAACCAAAAGUAAAACAAUUAUAAAUAUAAUACAUUGAAACCAAAAGAUUUAUUAAAUUUAAGAGUUACCUUACCUAUUCAAAUAUCAUGACGAAUACUAGCACCCAUCAUUGUAACUUGUAAUUGUUGAAGCUUGUGAUUGUACAUACUCUUGAAAAUGAAAAAAAAAAAACAUAAUAACUUAUAAUUAGUGCAUGAGUAAUAUAAAAAAUGUGUUAUAAUAAAUUUAAAAGGUAUUAUAUAUAAAAUGUAAUAUAAAAAAGUUAUCCUCUUGUAACUCCAUUUGAUAUAUAUGAUCUUUCAACUCUUGAUUAAGGUCGUAGAUAGGAGUGGCAAAAAGUUUAGAGUGCAACCAAUUUUCAGUGCAAAUCAAUGCUUCAAUCAUAGUGGGAGUUAAAGAACUCCUAUAUUCGUCAAUGAUAUGACCCCCAGUGCUGAAGGCGGACUCCGAAGCCACAGUGGAUACCGGAAUUGCAAGGAUAUCCCUUGCUAUUUUCUGCAAUAUCGGAUACUUCGACCCGUUCACCUUCCACCAUAAUAAAACAUUUAGUUUAUCAUUACUAGGAUCUUCAAUCGGGUCAAGUAAGUAUCUUUCCACCUCGGUCGUCACAAGCUUGUCCUCGUUUUGAAUUAAAACUUUCUUAGCAUAUCCAAGAAAAGGGCGAGCAACUCGUAAAGUAUCAUCACCAUGUUCCAUUAUGUACCCUUGUUGCCGAUCCGUGUCAUCUAUAAGGUGCGGAGAAGAACUAGAACCGCCACCGCCACCACUGGCACUGCCACUACGAAAACUCUCACUAGGCAAUGGUGGUGAGGAGUUCCAUCAACUAUGUGCAUCAAAAAGUGAAUUCAACAAGCCUUUUAUCACCGCGACUAUUUCUUCAAUCUUCGCACUAUCAUCGGAAAAAAUCAUACUAAAAAUAUGUUUAGUAACAUCCAUUUUGCAGCGCGGAUCAAGUAUUGAGGCAAUAAUCAAAAUUUUGUUGAUUUUCUCCGUGCACUCCCAAUAUUUGUCAUAUUUUUCCCUCAUACUAGAAGCCAUCAAAUGCACAUAAACAUCUUUGCUUUUUUCUAAUGCACUCAAUGAAUUCUCGAUUAAGCCAAUUGUAUCGUAACAAAGAUUAGAAGUGACACUCAAAGAGGCUGAAAAAGUCAAUGUAGCAUCAUAAAAGAUCUUUAAAAACCUCACAAUUCUUUCGGCAUGUUCCCAAUCUUCAAGCUCAGGUGGCCCCACCCUUUUUUUCUCGUUUUCUUCCUCUCUAAAGUAUGCUUCAUACGGUUUAUCCACUUCUGCCAUCCUUUCAAAUGCCUCCCAAAAUUUCAAAGCAGUCAUCAACAUCAAAUAUGUGGAAUUCCACCUAGUGAUACAAUCCAAAACCACAGUUCCAUUAGGACCUUUCACAUGAUCUACACAUUGUUUAAAUGCUUUUAAUCUCGAAGAGGAUGAUCUUACAUACUUCACAGCAUUCCGAAUACCGGCAACUGAGGCAUGCAACUCUUUUAACCCCCCAGUGACAAUCAAAUUUAAGAUAUGUGCACAACAACGCACAUGCAUGUAAUCACCCUGCAACACAAGUGCAUCAACAUUCUUCCACAUAAGCAUUUGGUUCUUCACAUAAUCAAUAGCAACAUCAUUGCCCGACGCAUUAUCAACAAUUAUUGCACACACCCUCUCUAUUCCCAUUCAAGCAAACAAGACUCAAUCUUUUUGCCAAUGGACUUCCCUUUAUGGUCUUCAAUCACGCUGAAACUAAUAAUCUUCCUAUGUAAACACCAAUUACUAUCAAUAAAGUGAGCUGUGAUUACCAUAUAACUCAUGUUCUGAACUGAAGUCCAUAUGUCAGUUGUAAGAGACACUCUAUGCUUAUUCUUACAUAUCAAACUCUUCAAAAUUCCCUUUUCUUCCAAGAACAUAUCCAUAACAUCUCUACUAAUAGUUCUCCGAGAUGGCAUAAUAAACUGAGGAACAACUACAUUGCAAAAAUGCCUAAACCCUUUGUUGUCAACAAAAUUAAGCGGCAACUCGCCCAAGAUAAUCAUUUUACUGACUGCCCUUCUACAAGCUUUUUGACUCCAUCCUUUGGCCAAAAUCAUAUUACUUGCAUUUCCUUCACCACUCUCGGCUGCCAAUUUUUGUUGUCUUUCAUCUUGCUCUCGCUUCACGUUCAAGUAUGCUUCACAUACUUUUAAAUGAGUUCCCAUAUUGCUAAUCCCAUCAAACCUAGGAUGGCACUGAUAUAUCUUGCCACAAUAGUUGCACUUUGCUUUAUAUUGAUUGUCCUCAAGUACAGUGUAAUGAUUCCAUGUCUCAGAUCUUUUCUUUAUUGGUCGUCUCUGAGUUGGAUUCUUUCGCUUUGUAUUUGUCUUUUCUGUGGGUACUUGUACACUUUCAACUUCAUCAUCAUCAUUGGAAUUUGAUUUUGAAUGUCCAGUCAUCUGAAAAUACAAAAAUCAUAUCAAUCAUCAUUGUUUUGUAACUUCCGUUUAUGAAUUUUCAACUAAAAAAUAAAUAUAACUUUUGACUAUAUAUAAUCUCUUCAGCCUAACUUACUAGCUAUACAAAUUCAUUCAUCAAAUUAUUAUUUGGAAAUAAAGCAAUUAAUGACAUUAAAUUAUCAUAAAAUAAUUCUACUACCACAAUGUACGGUAUGAAGAUGAAUUUUUAAUUUUAAAGAAUUGAUACUGUUCCUUAGUUUAUUAAUAAUUAAUAAACUAAUGUUAUAAAUGAAUAAUCAUACAUUAAAAUUAAAUAAUGAUGAUUAUUUAAUAAUUAAUAAAUUUGAAUUUUACAUCAAUACAUAUUCAUGUCUUUAUCAACUAAUAUUACAAAUGAAUAAUCAUACAUUAGAAAAAAUAAAAGGAAAAAACAGAACAAUUCAUGUCUUGCUCUCGGGUUUGGGGGCAACCGCUUGCUCUCGGGCUUGGCCCAAACAAUUUGGUGGCAUUUUCAGUUUUUCAUUUUCCAAGCAGUUACCAACUUACUCGCAAGGCUGCAAUGUAACUAAAAAAACCCUAAAAGUCGAAAAGAAGCAUGAAAUUCUAAGUGAGUUGUACUAACUUUCAAUUGUCAUGGGUUGGGUUUAAUUGCUUACCAUGAAUAAAGUUGCUAGGUGCUCGGGAAUAGUGGAAGUGGAUUAUCGAUGUUUAGCGUGGCAACUGGCCGGCACUGGACGUGAUCAGUUUGGUGGUUGAAGAGGCAGCUGUCAGCUGGGUUUCAGCUGGGUUUAGGUUGAUUAAUUGGGUUCCGUUCGCCUGGGUUUCAGUCGAAAUCAGCUAGCUUCCAGUCGAUUGGUGUCAGCGGGCCGGCGGCAGCUGAGUUUUGGUGUGGUCGUUACUCGUUAAUGGGUUUAAGACGGAUGAUAGGAUGAAGCUGGUUUUGGCAUUUUGCUUUUGCUCUGCUGCUCGUGCUCGCUGAGUCUUGUGUCUUUUUUUAAUGUCAGUUUGACAGUUUGAGUUGGUACUUGGCUCAGUUGGCUGUGACCUGUGCUGUGAGUCUGUGACUGAGAUGUAACAUUGUUAGAGUGCAAUUUAUGCACUAGUUUUGCAUUGUUUACUUCCCUUAAUAUCGAUGUUUUGCACUUAAUAAUGAUGAUUUACUUGUGUUUUACUUUUGUAGGUGCAAUUCUAUUGAUUUGUGAUAAAAUUGAGCUAUAAGAUGAUGUUUAAAGAUGAUUGUUCUCUUGGAGAAAUUAUGAGCGUCAGAAGAACUUUGUUGAUAAGGCGUGGGCGCGUGCUGUCAACUACGGACCUAUAGUUUUUAGUUUAACGUGUUUUGUAUUUUUGGUUAUUUUUCUAAUUACGAAUUUAAUAUUUCAGAUAUUAGUAUUUUAUUUUAAAUAGAAUUCUAGAGGAGAAGAGAGAGAGAGUAUUUAAGAGAGGAAACUAUUGUGAAAAAAAGGAUUUUUUGGAGGAAAGAAAGAAACCCUAGAUCUAAUUUUUCUCUUCUCUCUAUGAAGAACUAAACUUAUUUUUCUGGUUGAAGGUUAAUGAAGCUUUGAUUCAUCACUACUGUGAGAUCUUUCUUAUGCUUUAAUUAUUUUAUUACUUUUUAGGUAUUUGUUUAUUCUCUGAAUUAGUUUCAUGAUUAUGUUUGUUAAUUAGGUAAUUGGCCACUAUUUAAUUAUCAACUUAAUCUAUUGUCAAUUAAAGGAUUCAUCGUAUGAAGAUUUUAAUGUUUGUGACAAAUAACAUAGCAGUGAGUUGUGUUAUGAGAAUAAACAAUCUAAUUUAAAUGAAUCAUCAUAUGUGUUGAUUAGGAUUUGGGUCUCUCUGAUUUUUCAGGCUGUCAAUUGAUUAAAUCCUAUGAUCGUAUCUAGGGUUGUCUAUUGAUUAGGGAAAUAUCCAACGGUCGUACCUUGGUUAUCAACUAGUUAAGGAGAGAUUGGCUAUUAGAGGGUCUCAGUAGCUAUAACCGGUCUAUUUAUAAGUAAUAAUAAUCUAUAUUUGAAUCAAUGAUCAGUAGUCGAAUCAAGCUGAGUUAAUUCCUUCAACCAGAGCUUUCUCCAAUUUGAAUUACAACUUUAAUUUGCAUUCUUGUUAUUUUAAUUUGAUUUUUAUUAUUGUCAAUAAUUUCCCCAUUUUACGUUUUACGUUUCAAAAGGAUUUAAAUAAUUACCGAUAUCUGUGGACACGACCCUGCUCAAUCACUAUACAUAAUUUAUUUAAAGUAGGAAUUUAUUUUUGUUGGCUUCGACAAGCAUCAAACAUCUGAGAGUGAGUGAACAAUGUGAAGUGUGAAGUGUGAACUGGUGAGUGGUGACUGACUGACUGCAUUGGUGAUCCGAAGUCCGAAGUCUGAAGUCCGAACAUGAGUUAAACGUAUUUUUUUAGCACUUUAGCUUAUUUAUUUAAUUUUCUUUUUUUUUUGUUUAUAGUGCAGAUCCGAUCGGAUGAUUUGGAUUGAUCCAAAUCCGAACCAAAUCCGAUCGGAUCGCACAAACUUCAUCCAAUCGGAUUUGCCUUCAAAUCCGAAUCCAAUCCGAAUUAGUUUGGAUCAGAUCGGAUCGGAUCGGAUUUAUCCGAAUCCGAUCUGAUGCCCACCCCUAACUAGUACAUUGACAAUGAGGGACAUCACUGAAAUAUUUCCUGAUGAACAGUUGUUGGCAAUACAGCAAGCACAGACGCUGCAGUAGUCAGGACCCCCCUAGUAUGCAGAUUUUGCUAACUACUUAGUAAGUGAAAUGCUACCACCUGAGCUAAAGUUUCAGGAGAAAAAUAAAUUUCUUCAUGAUGUUAGAAGCUAUCAGUGGGAUGAUCCACAUUUAUAUAAGUCAUGCUCAGAUCAAGUAAUACAAAAAUGUGCUUCUGAAGGAGAAAUACGCCACAUACUAGAGUCAUGCCAUGCUGCAGCAUAUGGAGGACAUUUUGGUGGUCAUAGAACAGCUGCUAAAGUUCUGCAAUCAGGUUAUUACUGGCCCACUAUUUUUAAAGAUGCUUAUGAAUUUGUUAAAUAUUGUGACAAGUGUCAAAGGACAGGGAACAUAACUAAAAGACAUGAAAUGCCAUUGACUAGCAUUCUAGAAGUGGAAGUUUUUUAUGUCUGGGGAAUAGAUUUUAUGGGACCUUUCCCACCAUCCUUUGGGAACUUAUAUAUCCUUGUUGCUGUGGAUUAUGUCUCCAAGUGGGUAAAAGCUGCAGCAUUACCUACCAAUGAUGCUAAAACAGUGGUGGCUUUUCUUCAGAAAGACAUUUUUUCUAGGUUUGGCACUCUUAGAGCAAUUAUUAGUGAUGAGGGUACACAUUUUUGCAAUAAAGUCUUUGCUGCAGCUAUGGUGAAAUAUGGAGUCAGACACAAGAUAGCAACAACAUAUCACCCACAAUCUAAUGGUCAGGCUAAAGUGUCCAACAGAGAAAUUAAAAAGAUUUUAGAAAAAAUGGUGAACCCAACAAGGAAGGACUGGUCUUUACAGUUACAUGACUCUUUAUGGGCCUAUAGAACAGCAUACAAAACUCCACUCGGUAUGUCUCCUUACCGAAUUGUUUAUGGAAAGGCUUGUCAUUUGUCACUAGAGCUAGAGAAUAAAACACACUGGGCACUGAAGAAAUUAAAUUGGGACAUUCAUGCUGCAGCAGAGCAAAAGAAGCUUCAACUUUGUGAGCUUGAUGAAUUACGGCUAUUUUCAUAUGAAAAUGCAAGAAUCUAUAAAGAGAGGACAAAACAUUGGCAUGACAAGCAUAUUCAACACAUUUACUUCAGUCCUUGUCAAUUAGUGUUGCUCCACAAUACAAGACUAAGAUUAUUUCCGGGAAAGCUAAAAUCACGAUGGUCUGGCCCUUUUAAGCUGUUAAAAUUUUAUCAUCAUGGAGCUGUUAAUCUUCUAGAUGAACAAACAGGUCAAGAAUUUAAAGUUAAUGGACACAGGGUUAAGUAUUACAUACACCCAGCGGCAGAUUGUUCAAAGGAGGUGUUACUCCUUAAAGAACCCAGCUAUUGAGCAAUGAAAGAAGGUCAGGCUGAAGGACCUUAAAUCAAGCGCUCCAUGGGAGGCAACCCAUUGUGGAGACAGCCACCUCAACCCAAGUUUGAUCUCCUUUGGUUUUGUUGACAACUCUCCCUCUUUACCAUUUUAUUUGAUUUUGUUCUUCCAUUCUAGUUAUUUAGUUUUAUCCUUUCACAUUAUUGCAUUCUUUACUUUUGCUAUCAUUUGAUCUCUUUAUUUUUUAAAUUAAUUUUAGAAUUAAUUUUAGUGUGUGGGAAGUAUGUGUAGCAAUUGAAUUCCGUAUUGACAAGUGAGGUUGUAUGGUGGCAGAGUACAGAGGUGAGCCACGUGUCAAAGGGCUUUCGUGUAGAGUAUGUAACCGCUGCAUGAGUAAGCGAAUAGGUGCUGCAGCAACCAAUUUUAUCGUUACAGUAAAUUAAAAGAUGGAGCCUCUCACUUACCGUUGGAGACAAAUCAUGACAAAUGGAGGCAUGAAUGUGAUAGAAAUUGCGAAAAAAUCUCCGAAAUUAAUGCCUUAAUUUCACUGGCCGAUGUUUUUGGGCUAUGCACAUUAAAUUCAAAAUAAUUUCUUCCCUCAUUUAUCUUUAGUUACCGUAUUUAUCUUCAAUUAAAGUCCACUAUAAAAAGGAGUCAUUGUGCGUAGUGCUCUACGACACUAUUCCUCAUCUCCUUCGCAAAGUACAACUCUCAUAAUUCUUAACCUCUUAUUCUGAUUUUACUCUCAGGGACAUUAGCCUCAAUAUGUUACUGCUACAGCAAUGCCGAGGUAUAAGAAAACAGCUAGCCGCCUCAAAGAUUCGUCACGCUUCCAGAGUGAAAGAAGGUCAGGCUGAAGGACCUUAAAUCAAGCGCUCCAUGGGAGGCAACCCAUUGUGGAGACAGACACCUCAACCCAAGUUUGAUCUCCUUUGGUUUUGUUGAGAGCUCUCCCUCUUUACCAUUUUAUUUGAUUUUGUUCUUCCAUUCUAGUUAUUUAGUUUUAUCCUUUCACAUUAUUGCAUUCUUUACUUUUGUUAUCAUUUGAUAUCUUUAUUUUUUAAAUUAAUUUUAGAAUUAAUUUUAGUGUGUGGGAAGUAUGUGUAGCAAUUGAAUUCCAUAUUGACAAGUGAGGUUGUAUAAUGGCGGAGUGCAGAGGUGAGCCACGUGUCAAAGGGCUUUAGUGUGGAGUAUGUAACCGUUGCUAGAGUAAGCGAAUGGGUGCUGCAGUAACCAAUUUUACCGUUACAGUAAAUUAAAAGAUGGAGCCUCUCACUUACCGUUGGAGACAAAUCAUGACAGAUGGAGGCAUGAAUGUGAUAGAAAUUGCGAAAAAAUCUCCGAAAUUAAUGCCUUAAUUUCACUGGCUGAUGUUUUUGGGAUAUGCACAUUAAAUUCAAAAUAAUUUCUUCCCUUAUUUAUCUUUAGUUACCGUAUUUAUCUUCAAUUAAAGUCCACUAUAAAAAUGAGUCAUUGUGCGUAGUGCUCUACGACACUAUUCCUCAUCUCCUUCGCAAAGUACAACUCUUAUAAUUCUUAACCUCUUCUUCUCAUUUUACUCUCAGGGACAUUAGCCUCAAUUUGUUACUGCUACAGCAAUGCCGAGGUAUAAGAAAACAGCUAGCCGCCUCAAAGAUCCGUCACGCUUCCAGAGUUACCACGCCGAAGAAAAAUAUGAAGAAUUCAUAGAGCCGCGUAAAAUUCUGGAAGAAAAAGGGUUUCAAUUUCCAGAACGACUCACUGGAAUUGUGCAAACAAUACACAAUGCUGCAGCAAAGCGAGGAUGGUUAGAGUUUUGCAACCACCCUUGAGAUCUUGUGCUACCAGUAGUCAAAGAAUUUUACGUUAAUUUGGUAAGCCCAGAUCAGCACAACAUUUGGGUAAGAAAUACACUUGUUCCAUUAUACUCCCGCGUUAUAAAUGCUUUUUAUAAUUUACCUACUGAAAUUAAUUGUGAGUAUGCGAAGUUGCUUGGUAAAUUGACCACGAAAAAAUGGAACACCAUUUUCACAACUCUUACAAUCGAAGGGGCAUCGUGGGCCAACGAGGAAGGACGUGUAGUUAAUAGGAUAGAUUUGAAACCUAUUGCUAAGGUGUGGGUCAAAUUUCUGAAAUCUAAGCUUAUGCCAACCACUCACACUACUACGGUUUCACAAGAGAGGUUGGUCUUGCUAUAUGUCAUUAUUCGAGGGCUUCCCAUAGAUGUGGGUAGCAUCAUCGCAACAGAAAUAUGAGAUUGUGCAGUUAAGACUCACAGGACGGCUGCCUUGCUAUUUUCUUCACUUAUCACCAGCAUUUGUGUAGUUUCCGGUGUUCGUCUUGACGCAAGAGAUGACCAUAUCAGGAAUGAUAGUGCCUUUACGGCACGUACCAUUGAGAGAGUUGCUGGAAAGAGUGCUGGAACAACAACUGAACCAGCUGUUGUAACAGGAGCGAGACGAGCUAUUGGUUUAGAAUAGAUAAUCCAGGCACUCAGCACAAGUAUAACUCAAUGUGCUGAAGCUCAGCAGAGGGAAAACGAUCGGUUUUAGAGUUAUCUACAGCACCUGGACAACCAAUUACACCAAUUCGUUCUGUACAUGAAACACACUCACCGGAACUUCCCUGAUUCAUUGCUCCAGCAGUACAAUUUUGUCACCAACGCCACAGGAGCUCCAACAGAAGCCAGUGAAGAAGCCACUACCCCAGAUGAACCAAAAAAAGAAGCUGCAGCUGAACCACAAGCAGAGGUAGAAUUAGAAAAUGAGGAUCCAUCUGAUCAACCUGAGGAAGAAUGUGACAAGUCUGAAACUAAGAGCUCAUCAACAGAAGCAAAGGACAACUCUGAGAAAUAACAUGAGGAACCUUCCAUCCCCACUCAGUCUACGACCAGAAAAAGGCACAUUAUUCAAGAAGAUGAGGAGAAAGACCCUGAAGAGGAACCGUCCAUUACAGUCCUUGCGAGCAAAGGUAAAGGCAAGGGUAAAGCAAAAAUGGCAACACCUCCAGCCUCUGAAGAUGAAAUGGAGCAAGUUGAUGCCAAGCUGGCUGCUGCAACAACCAGAGUUACGCCUACACCUGCAGAAGCCAAGCAGCUACUUGAUAUCAUUGCUGCCAUCACAGCUGAGGGUCAGGCAGCUAAUGCGUCAACUCUAAUUCCUCCACAGCAAACUCCUAGCCAGCCUAUUCGUACUAGUCCGCGACAAUCCAGUAAAAGAAAAGGCAAUACAUCUAAAGGCACUGCUACAGCAACCUCGCCACAACCAAAACGGACCAAAUCAGUGGCAAGCACGCCAGCUACCCCAGCCACAACUCCUCUCACCAGCCCCGUGAAGAAAAAGACAAAGGCAUUGCCAGCUACUUCCCCACAAGCUUCCCCAAAGGAUAAGCUGCGCAGUGCAUCCAAAAAGCGCUGAUAGCAUCCCGUCAUGUGUCGCAGUCCCCACAACAGGGGUGUAUUCUUUCCUUGCUAGUUCAUUAUAAAAAAAAAAAACCAACUUUUCUUUCCUUAUGUUUUUUUAGUUUGUAUGGUGUUUUCUAAAGUCUUCCAUAUCCGUGUGAACUCGUGUACCUUUGUUCUGUAUGCUUCUGAGGACACAGCAAUUCUCAAGUUUGGGGGGAUUAUGUUUCCAAAUGCAUGUGUUUAUGUUUGUUAUGUUAUCUAAUAUUUGUGUAUGGAUUUGAAAACCUAAUGAAGAUAAAUUGAGUGUUAUUUAGUAUUUAUGAGAAUGCCAAGUAGAGAUAGUUAUAUAUUGAAGUGAAAUUAUGUCCUGACACUUAGACUUUGGUUGAAUUGUAUGAGACUGCUAGAGCAGAGCCAAAAGAAUAGACAAGAUUUUAAGUUUGGGGGGAAAAGCAAGUUUGAUUGACUGUGAUAUCUAUAAAAUGAACUCUGUUCCAAUGGCUCAAGUUGCUGAGUAACCAGAUCUGAGUAUGUACCUUAUAUGCAGAAUUGUGUUCAAAGGUAGCGAGAGUUAUGAGCAGUGCUGCAGCACACAUAUUAAAAAAAAAAAGAGAAAAAGAAGUCCUCUGUCUAAGGAAUUGAGUACCCAGGUCUGUUCAUGAGCCCCAUGUUCAGCCUUGAGUAAAAGAUACCUCUAGAUAAGAUUAUAUUAUAGAUACUGCUGUAACAACUCUGAUCUGGGCAUGGUUUGAGUAAUUGGGUGUCAUCAUUACAAUUGAUUGACAUUUACAUGAAAGAUAAAUGUUACAGUGAGAAGGUUGAAUAAUCCCCAGUUUAUCAAUCUUAAAAUAAUCACAGUUAUGAAAAAUUUAUGCUACCCCAGUUAUGAAUAAAGUGUUAUCACUGCUGAAAUUCAUGCAGUCCCUUGGUGAUGUUAUAGCAUCUCUGGAAUUCAAUCAAAGGUGCACACACACACUAUGGACAGAAAGAAGCUUAAGUCUAGAACUGAUUUACUAUGGUCAUUUUGCAUGAUUGGGAUUGUGAUCUGAAGGUGGAAGAAUCCUUGCAAAUUUGAUAAAAGAGCUAAAGUUGUGUGCAUGAGUGUUUGCGUGAAGUGUUAGUAUGUGUCAUUACUUGAGGGCAAGUAACGGUUUAAGUUUGGGGUGUGAUAAGUCUAAGAAAUGAGAGUUAUUACAUCCUUUCUAGACUUAAAUCAAGAUCAUUUAGAGAUCAAAUAAGGUGUUUUUAUUACAUUUUGGUUACAUUUUGCAUAAACAUUCAUUUGAGUUGAGUUUUAAUAAGUUUUUCUUGAAUCAAAGUAAUUUGUGCUAAAAAUAGGUAUAUAAUUGUAGGUUUUCAGAAAGUCUUAAUUUAUGAGGGGAUGUUGAGACAUUAGAUGAGCAAGAAGAGGAAAGAAGAUGGCCACAAAAGAAGUAAAACACAAUCGGGAAUAGUGCAGUGUGGUUGCGGAUGUUAGAGCAACUAGUGCUGUAGCAAUCUGGGAGUAAUGUGGGAGAAAACUUAGGCGCGGGUCAGCCACAAAAUCGCAAUCUGCAUGUUUCCUAAUUUAACGAAUGCACGUUCAUGGGCUUUUGUUUACCCUAAUUUGCAAUAUAAAAGGGAGGCGUGCACGACAUAGAAAGGCGGCAAUGGAAUUAUCAUUAGAUUAAUUUCAAAGGAAAGAAGAAGAAGAUCAUAAUUGGAGAGUGUUGUUUCGGCAACAUUGAAGAAUCGUGCAGAAUUAUUUGGAUUUGUUUUUUACCGUGCUCAACUUAUAUUUAUCUUUUUUCUUUAAUUGUUUAAUGUAUCCCUUGAACAAUAUAUUUAUGUUUAUUUUUCUCAUUCAGAAUAUGAACUAAAUUUACUCAUAAUUGAGUGACAAAUAAUUCAUUGGGUUCUUGACUGUUCUUAUAUGUUGUUAUGUCAUUGCUGUAGCAUUUUACUCUAGUAGUUUUUAUGAAUAUAACUGUUAUUUCGGUUGACCACCCAUUUGAUAGUUUCAGUUAAGAUAGAGCAGCACAAGGGCAUAUCUUAGCGGAUAUUAUUAGAGUAUUACUUGAUCUUAAGUUCAGUUUCUUGGAUUAAGUUAUCUUGAAUCCCAUAAGGGCAAUACUUGAAGUUGAGAUUUGUGACACACUAGACAUAGGUGUUCACUUUGUAGGGUGGAGAGACUAAAGAUCAUAAUGUCAUGCCAUAAAUAGAUUAGCAACUGGUCAUUGUUAGUAGAUUUAAGGGUAUGAGACUUCCAAUAUGCGAUAGCUGAGGAUGCAGAUUUAUUCUGCCCAGUGAUGCAGCACUUGCCGUAAUAACUGGUGCUAAUUUUAUAAAAAAAAGUCACCCCCAUAAGGAGAGUUUGAUCAUUCAACUACCAUAAUCUCAAUUGAAUCUUAGACACAUUUCACAUAGUUUAUUUCAUUACGGUAUUAUUUUAUUUAAUUCUCUCACAUCCAUUAAUUACGAUAGAAAUUACUUUACAAUUGUUAGCUUCGGCCUUAAGUUGAUUUGCACUAUUGUGAUUGCUAUAACAUUUUGAGUAACAUCAAUCCUUGUAGAGACGAUCUUGAUUACUUAUCACUUUAUUACUUGUUGUGUAGACUUGCACAUUGGCAUUGGUAGCAAUUGCUUAUAAAAUUAACCAACAUGAACCAAUCCCAACACGAAUUCCAUCUAGUUGGCGCAUGUGCAUUGAUUACAAAAAAUUAAAUGAUGCCACUAGAAAAGAUCAUUUUCCCCUUCCAUUUCUAGACCAAAUUCUCGAAAGAGUAGCUGGACAUCCCUACUAUUGCUUUUUUGAUGGCUACUCUGGCUAUUAUCAAAUCCCUAUAGCCUUAGAAGACUAGGAAAAGACCACAUUCACAUGCCCAUUUGGAACAUUUGCAUUUAGGAGAAUGCCCUUUGGACUUUGUAAUGCUUCUGCAACAUUUCAAAGGUGCAUGCUAAGUAUUUUUAGUGACAUGAUUGAAAAUUGUUUAGAGGUUUUUAUGGAUGAUUUAACUGUAUUUGGUAAUUCUUUUGAUACAUGUCUUGAUAAUCUAGAAAAGGUUUUGGAAAGGUGCAAAGAAAAAGGACUAGUUUUAAAUUGGGAAAAAUGUCAUUUCAUGACCACUUCUGGAAUUGUCUUGGGCCAUGUUGUGUCUUCAAAAGGAAUUGAAGUUGACAAAGCCAAAGUUAAAGUCAUUUCAAAAUUACCCUCACCAAAGACAAUUAGAGAAGUCCGUUCCUUUUUAGGACAUGCAGGAUUUUAUAGGAGGUUUAUAAAAGACUUUAGUGUCAUAUCUAGACCACUUUGUAACCUCCUAAUAAAAGACACACCUUUUGAAUGGACUUAAGAUUGUCAACAAGCUUUUGAAAAAAUAACUACUCUUUUGACAUCAGCCCCAAUAAUGCAACCCCCUGAUUGGUCUUUACCUUUUGAGCUAAUGUGUGAUGCUAGUGAUUAUGCAGUUGGCACUGUUCUGGGUCAAAGAAAGGAAGGUAAGCCCUUUGUCAUCUAUUAUGCAAGUAGAACUUUGAAUAGUGCUCAAAUGAAUUACACUACAACUGAGAAAGAACUACUUGCUGUAAUAUUUACAUUGGAUAAAUUUCGUUCGUAUUUAAUUGAUUCAUCCACUAUUGUUUAUUCUGAUCAUGCUGCUGUGAGAUAUUUAAUGUCAAAACAGGAUGCCAAACCAAGGUUGAUACGAUGGAUUUUGCUACUUCAAGAAUUUAACUUGACAAUUAAGGACAAAAAGGGCGCUGAAAAUGUUGUUGUAGAUCAUCUUUCAAGACUUACGAAUGAGUUUUCAAUUGAAACAACACCCAUCAAUGAUUCUUUCCCUGAUGAAUUUUUAUUUUCUAUAAACAAAAUGCAUUGGUACGUUAAUAUUGUUAAUUAUCUUGCAACAGGUGAAAUGCCAUGUGACUGGAGUUCCCAGGACAAGAAGAAAUUCUUAACAGAAGUGAGAAGCUUUUACUGGGAUGAUCCAUACCUGUUCAAGUACUGCUCUAAUCAAAUUUUUCGAAGAUGCAUACCAGACGACGAGGUAAGUAGGGUCAUUCAAUUUUGUCAUUCUGAAGCAUGCGGUGACCAUUUUUCUUCAAAAAAGACAGCUGUAAAAAAUAUUACAGUGUGAAUUUUAUUGGCCUACAUUAUUUAAAGAUUCACAUACAUUUUGUAAAAUGUGUAAGAAUUGUCAAAUGGUAGGGUCUAUUUCAAAGCGAAACAUGAUGCCUUUAAACCCCAUCCUUGUCAUUGAAAUAUUUGAUUGUUGGGGAAUUGAUUUUAUGGGCUCUUUUCCAUCAUCAUUUGGAUUUGUAUACAUUUUGGUUGCUGUUGAUUAUGUUUCAAAAUGGAUCGAGGCAAUUCCUUGUCGGCACAAUGAUUACAAGAUUGUGAUCCGCUUUUUAAAAGAAAAUCUUUUGACCAGAUUUUGAAUACCUCGAGCCAUCAUCAGUGAUGAAGGUAAAUAUUUUUGUAAUAAGCCAUUUGAGUCCGUAAUGAAGAAAUAUAGAAUUACACAUAAAGUUACUACCCCUUAUCACCCUCAAACAAGUGGUCAAGUUGAAUUAACAAAUAUGGAGAUAAAACAAAUUUUAGAAAAAACAGUUAAUCCAAACCGUAAAUAUUGGUCUCUUCGACUAACUGAUGCACUUUGGGCAUAUUGUACUGUUUUUAAAACAUCUUUAGGAAUGUCACCCUGUCGGCUUGUUUAUGGAAAAUCUUACCAUUUACCUGUUGAACUUGAACAUAAAUCAUUUUGGGUCAUUAAAGCUUUUAAUUCAAAUCUUGAUGAUGCUGGUAAUGUGCGUAAAUUGCAAUUAAAUGAACUUGAGGAAUUAAGGAAUGAUGUAUAUGAGAAUUCCAGAAUUAUUAAGGCAAGAACCAAAUUUUUUCACGACAAAAGAAUUUUUCGGAAAACAUUUGAAAUUGGUCAAAAAGUGUUGCUUUAUAAUUCUCGUCUUCAUUUAUUUCUAGAGAAGUUAAAGUCAAAGUGGAAUGGUCCAUUUGUUGUAAACAAUGUGUAUCCAUAUGGAGCCGUAGAAAUUGAGAAUGCAAAGGAUGGUAUCACAUUUAAAGUUAAUGGUCAAAGAUUGAAACCAUAUCUGGUACCAACCACGUGAAACAGAUACCGAAAUCAAUUUGAGUGACCCACCAAAUUUUGAUUAAGCCUUUUCAUUUUAACUUUUUGUGAAAUUGAUUUACUGUUACUUUAUCGUUUAAAUUGUUUGAUUUUUUUUUCUUUUUUCUUUUCCUUAUGUCUUGAAUGGAGUGCAUUGCAUUGUUUUAAUUGUGUGUUGUUUGACAAUUGUGAUUUAGCGCACGAAAUUUUUAUACUUGUCAUGAGUGCCUCUAUGAGAAAUUUCCUUUUCGAUCAUCUUAAAACGCUUUUACAUAUAAAAUUUCAUUUGAGGAAAUUGCUCUGAUUUUGUAAAUCACAUCCCAUUUGGGAUCUACAACCACCAGAGUUAGUAUUCCACGUGAAAGAUCUAGAAAGACAACUCAAGGAAAUAUAGGAUGGUAUUUAUAAUCUGCAAUUGGAACUGGAUGUAAAUUCAAUAAAAGGACGAUGGUGAGUUAUAUUCCUUGUGUGUUUUUGUUUUAUUUUGCAGAUUUGAUUCGUUUUGUUUUGAUUCACUCUCCCGUAUAAAUGGCGGAUAACGGUACUCCGUGACUUUUUAAGUCGGUAUUCUCAGUUUCCAACAAUAACUGAAACCUCAAUGUCAAGCAUGGAAGAAAUACAACGAAAUUUGUAUCAACGUUGUCCUUCUCUCCCUCAAAAUGCUCUUAAGAAGAUUUACAAAGCUCGUUGUGAACGACUACGUUUGUUAAUGAUCAAUGGGAUUCCUGCUGACAUUCGCUGGUUAAUUGAAGCAAAGGUCUGAUUGGCAGGUGAGUUUUCUGAUCCAUUCAUUCCUACAUGCCUAGUUUUGGUAAAAGUACAUUUGCUAAGAAAAGAAGAGCUAAGCCACUUGGCUCUGAAUGGUCUCACUGUGUAAGACUUGCUUACAAAAAGCCACGUUGUAAAGAUUUAGGAAUAGUUUAUGUAAAUCGUGAAGAUAAAAUCAAAUUCGUUAAGGAUGGCAUGAGUAAAGAAUCGUUGGAUGAUAUCUUACGAUCUCUUGAGAUGCAUCCGAGCGGAUACGUUCAACGUGAAAUUCAAAAUUUUUGGAAGUUGUUCCAAAAAGAAAGUGCACAGUUUAGUCUUGGGAAUCUGACUCUAAAAUACCAUGUUUGCCAGUUUAUAAGAAAACUGGAUGGGAAGCAUAUCCUCGACCCAUAGAGGGCGUUAAAGCUGUUACUGGACGUAAAACCAGAGGAAGAUGUAAGCCACAAUUACAACUACCAGUAAAUAUCCUUUUAUUUUUCUGUUCUUUUAUCUUUUGCAUUAUUAUUAUUAUUGUGUGUCUUUUUUUAUCUAAUCACUGUUUUUUUUUCUUUUUACUGUUUUCCUUUGAAUUAUUAAGCUAAAAGCUUCACACGUCAUUUGACAAACACACCACCCCAUUUACAGAUAUAUAUCAUUAUGUCAAUCACCAAGAUCCUUAAAUAAGAGCUUCUUUUCAAGCACUCACAAAUUGUUUCUUUUUAGAAUUGUUCUAAUGGCAGCAACUUUAAGCAGUCAACUUAAAAACAUUUGUGUGCUUUCUGGAUUUCGCUAUGGAAAGUAUAAGGAGUUCGUUCAGGUAGCCGUAGAUCUUGGUCGUGGUAUAGCAUAGAGGAAACUACAUCUUGUAUAUGGAGGAGGUGACUAAGGGUUAUCAAAGCUUGUCUCUGAAGCUGCUUUCGUUCGAGGAAGCCAAGUGCUAGGCAUCAUUCCAAAAGCCUUAAAACCUUUAGGAUGUCUACCAAACCCACCAACUGGAGAAGAGUUAGUUGUCUCAGGUAUGCAAGAAAGAAUAUCUAAAAUGUUAAAUCAUGCUGACGCCUUCAUUUUCUUGCCAGGAGACCUUGCAACUUCAAAGGCGCUAAUUAUAUUUGCUUCUUGGGCCCAUUUGAAUAUUCAUCAAAAACUUAUCGGUUUGUUAAAUGUUAAUAACUUUUAUGAUAGCUUAAUAACAUUUCUUAAUCAUGCAAUAAAAAAAUUACUUCAUUCUAUCCUCAGCGAAAACACUCUUCAUUUGUGCUCCUACUGCUAAUGAGUUACUUGAUCUUUUGCAAGCUUACAAACCAGAGCCAGAUCCCAUGACUUUGGCGUUGGAUUGGGCAACUGAUGACUAUGGCAGUAACUCUCGUAGAAAGCAUAAAUUAGAUUUAACUCUCCGUUUGUAAAUAUUUCCAACAGUGGCCAUAUGAUAUCUUCUAAACUCUAUUCCUUUCUUUAGACAUUGAGGACAAUGUCUCUUUCAGGUUGGGGGGAGGAAAUAGUUGAUAAUUGUGGAAUGUCUCAGUCCUCGUGAUGUUUUUACUAAUUUUUGUUGUAAAGACUAACUUUGGAUAAAAAUUUAAGUCGAAGAUGGCAGAAUAUAGAAUGUACUGUCUCUAGAAAUGCAUCUUUUUAAGUUUAGUGUUUUGUUUCUAAAAAAAAAUGUCUUCUAAAGUUUUGUUUUCGGUCUUUUUUCUCUUUUUCUCUUAAUCAUCUCCCUUAAGUUUCUGCAAUCAGUCCCAAUUUCUUUUAGUGUUUCUUUAACAAAAAAAAAAAAAGAGUUUUCUUUUUCGGUGUGAUCUUUUAACAUUGGAUAACAUGACGAUUUUUAAAUUUUGGUAUUUGUAUUAUCUUUGGCCUUGAGUUAUGUUACACUAUGUUUUCCCUUUUGCAUGUUGAAACGUAAAUUGAGAAAUUGGAUGAGUGAAAUUGAUUAAGUCAUUUGGAGGAAUGUACAUGUUAUGAAAAGACCAAGUGAGUUUUUGAUCCUAUUAUCCUUGGAGAGUAACAUUGUCUGCCUACAGCUUCACAAUUUAUUGUACAAGAUCUCAAUAUUUUCUUUUAAAAAAAAAGUUUGUACAGCCGCAUCUAAAAGUCCAUUGAACUAGUGAAUAUGAAAGAUUAUAUAGAGCCCUAAAAGAUGACAGAAGGACAUCUUUGAUUUGUUUGAGCCUUUCUAGCCACCCUAUUAUAAAGAAUCCAUAGUUAACCCCUUUGAGCCUUUGAAAAAAAAAAAAUUUCUUUGGUAACCUAUCAUAUUUUCCUACUCCAAUGAGGAGUAUCACCUUAUGUUUUAUGUUUUUCAUCAUCCAAUUAUAUUUGAAAAUAGGGAUGAUUAUGUAUUCCUAAUAAUGGUGCUAUAAAAAAAAGAGAUGAUAUGUAUAUAUGAAUAAACAAAAUAAAAAAAAAUCCAAGCAAAACGAAAAAAAAAAGCACAUUGUAAUCUCCAAAAAGUCUUCUAUUUUUCAAAUAUAUAUUUUUGUUUUCCUUAUUAUUUUUUUUUUGUUAGCCAUGACCCUAGCCUACGUUACGUCCUAAUAAAAGUCCUCGAUUUUUGGGAACUAUAGUGUAAAGUAAAAGCUGGUAAUAUGGACUAAAAGAUGUGGUGAUGCAUAAAAAUAAAAAUAAAUUUUGCUAGUAAUUCCUUGGACUUGAGAUCAGUUUAUUUCUAAGUUGUAGGCAUUAUUUUCAUCUUAGUGAGAGCGUAUGAUAUUGUUUUAUUAUUUUUUCAAAUUUACCAAUUUUUUCAGAGUGACAAAUUAAUUUAGGGUAUAUCUUCUUUUAAGAGCGUCACUCUUAAUCGUGAGAUUUUGGGGUUUGAUGUAUCAUUCUUAAAAGUGGCUUGAUUAAUAUAGCUCUGAUAAUUGAUUAUUUUACAGGAUUUUACUAAAUUAUUUUGUGCGGGUAUGAUUUUCUUUAGGCUGAAGAUAAUACUUAUACUUUUAUUUGAUUGUUGUCAUUAAUCUGAUGGAAGAAGUAAACACAAUUUUCAAAAAAAAAAAAAAUUUCAAUUUGAGUUUGAAAUUUUACUAAACUUUUAUCGCUUAAAUUGUUAGGGCCUAGCAAUAAGCUGGUUGGGGGGUGUGAUUGACGCUAAAAAGUGUACAUUUAAUAAGGAUAAAAUUAUUAGUUUUUCACUUAUUGUGCCGAUUAAUGCGUUCAUUAUUUCUAAAUUAUUUUAAUACUCUCCAAAUAUAUUUUAUGUUAAAUUAAUUCGCAAUUUGUUAAUUUCUAUCUUAUAAAUAUUUUUCAGGAAUAAAGAUGGAAUUAGAAUUGAAAGCGGGAAUAAACAAGAACUACUGAAACACAAUUGAGGAGAUGUAAUAAUAAAAAAAUAAAAAAAUAAAAAAUAAAAACAAAAAAAAAACAAAAAAAAACAAAAAAAACAAAAAAAACAAAAAAAACAAAAAAAGAACAAAAGGACAAAAGAGCAAAAGGCAACCAUGUUUUGAUUGCCUGUGAUGGUCAGAAGGCCAUCACGCCUCCUGGCCAUCACACUUCUCAACAUUCAUUUAAUUUAUAAAAAAAUAAAUUAAUAAUAAAUUAAAUAAGAAUAAAAAGAAUGACGAGGAGGCAAUUGUUGCCUAUAAAAGACGGAGUAUUGAGAAGCCAGAGAGCUAUUAUUUUUUGAGGAGCUUAACCCGAGAGAGAAUAGAGUGCAGCUGAAGAAUUUCUUUCUUUCUUUGUUUCUUUUCUUUUCUUGUUUUCGUUUGUAAUCAACUUGAAAUUCUAGUUAUGCAACCCAAGAGGGGGGGUGAAUUGGGAUUCUAAAAAUUAUUCAAUUCUAAAAAAACGAAUUUAAAGCAAUAACAAUUAAAUCAAUCACAAUAUAAAAAGAUAAGGGAAGAGAGAUUCAAACACAAAGAUUUUUACGUAUUUCGGCCAACCUCGCCUACGUCCACGCCUCCAAGCUUUCCGGGCUUGAGGAUUUCACUAAGCAAGCCUCCAAGGCUUCAAAUGCUUACACUUGACUUCCAAGGUGUCAAUGAACCUUUACAACAAGAGAUUAUCCCCAAUCUCUUAACUCAAGUAUAUUCCAACACUUACAAUCACUCAAAGUAAAAGAUUACAAAUUGUUUUUCUCUCACACAAUAUUUAAGAUUACAAAUCAAUGCCCAAUGUGUGAAUAGAUGAAGCAAGAAUGUGUUUAAAGUUCUAUGAAGAUUGUAUUCUUGAAUAUAAGCUCAAUGGUCGUGUUGUGAUCAAUUUUUUUUGAAUUUGAAUGAGCUUAUUUAUAGUUGGAGCUGAAAAACUAGCUGUAACAGACUGUCUGCCCGAAAAUGGUUCACCGUUAACCAUUAACGGUUAACCGUUUAGGCUGGUCAAAAAUUACCGUUGGGCCAAAUUUCAAAUAAACGGUUUACCGUUUAGGCUUACCCUUUCGCCGUUAAAUUUCAGAGACCUGCAAAACAAAUUUGGUUUAACCGUUCUUACUAAACGGUUCAAGGUUAGCAAUCUGGAAAUAAUCGGUUAACCGUUUUCAGUAAACGGUUCACUGUUAUUUUCCAGAAUCAUUCUUUUAACAAUACUUUGCAGAACAUGCUUUCUGGAAAUUAUCGGCUAGCCGUUUGCUACAGUGAAAUUAUUUUCUAAAUUUAUAGUUUUACCCCAAAACUUUCUAUAAUUAUACUAUGGCCCAAAUUGUCAUAAAACUUUAUAAAUAAGUCCAUUUCCAGAGUUUCAAAACUUUUUCAAUUUAGACCAUUAAUUGAAAACAACCAAUUUCAUAAAAUCAUUUUUCCAUUAAGUAUAAAGCCUUUAUAUUAUGAAAAUAAUGAUUUAUUUAAAAUAAUUUGAGCUUUUAAAAACUUAAUCAUUCUUAAUCUUGUUUGUUAUCAUCAAAAUCAACAUUAUGGAUACAUAUAUGCUAACAAUCUCCCCCUUUUUUAUGAUGACAAACCUUGAAUGUCUUUAAAGAAUGAUUCCACAAAUUGCUUCCCCUAAAUGUAAGCUUCCCUUACAAUUUGCCAAUUUACUAAAUUAACCAAUUUAAAUACAUGUAUUAUUCUCCCCUUUCAUCAUCAAAAAAGAAAACUUGAAGGAAAAGAAUAAGAGUAGCAAAUUUGUUACCCAUGUUGUCCUAGUAGAAAUUUCGACAGAAUCUCUCCCUCACAACAAGCAUUACCUCAAACACAAGUUUAAUAAUAUUACUCCCAAAUUAUUAUAAAUCAUGAUACAAGCCAACUCCAUAUAUAAAUCAUCACACCAAAAUAUCAUGAACCAUUAUUUCAUCAAUUACCAAGUCAACAACUCAUAACAUAAAAUUAUCAUAUAAAACACCCAUGUAAUCAAAUCAUCAUCAUAUCUCAAAAUCAUCACCAUAAUCACAUAUUAAUCAUCAAAACAAUAUUCAAGAGUCCAUAUUAUUCUCCUCUUUUUAACAACAUCGAAAUGGUAUAUUACUUUGUCUCCCCCUUUGGACAACCAAAAAGUUCAAAAUGCAUAUUAUCCAAAAUCAUAUUGUAUGCUCCCCCUAAAUAUAUGUCAAUUUUAAAUUUUAACCAAAAUGAUUUUAUCCAAAAAUAUAUCACAUUUAUCCCCCCCCCCUUCAUUGUAAAAAAAAAAGAGAAGAUAGAUAGAUGCAAUCGAAACAAGAUCAUCAAAAAAAUAAUUCGAUGAAGAUAUUACUCAUUUUGUGCAAGCAAAAAUUUCGGCAAAGGUUCCCCGUAAAAUGAAACAACUCCAUCAAGCAUCAGUUCACACACAAAUAAUCAUCCAACAGCAAAAGCAUCACAUAGAAAAAUCCAUCAUCAAAAUCAUUAGAAGUAGCAAUGUAUACCAAACAAAAUAUAAAUAGCAACACACAAGGAAACAUAAUAUGAAAUGUAUGUGCGAAUAUGAGAGUCAGAAACUAAGUAGGUGGUGAAGAUGUGAAAUUAUGGCUCAAUUUGGUUGAGGAAGGGCAAAAUUUCGGUUAACAUGGAGGAAAUCCGUUCGGCUGCCCUUAGGUUUUGGAUUUCUAAAGAUGAAGAGAAAUGAUUUUAUCGGUGUGAUUUGGCAAGAAAAUGAAGAAAAAAGAAGGAUUGAAGAAGGAGAAAGCUUCGACUGUGCAACAAUGGCUAAACGAUAAGAGGGCAAAUGUAGAAGGAGAAGAAACCCUUGGAACAAUUUUAUAUUUCAAGAAAACGGCGAGCCUUUUUCUGUAAACGGUGAGGGAGUAACUUCCAGAGAGCAUUUAAUGGAAAAACGGUGAAAGGUUAGUCCUUAACGGUAAAGGGGUAAAUUCCAGUGAGCUUUUUAUUUUUAAAUGGUUUACCGUUUGCCGAAAACGGUAAGGGAGUAAGGUUUAAAUCAUCAGAGCCUAGUUUCUGGAAUUAAACGGUACACCGUUUAUUGAGAAACGGUUAUCCGUUUACUUCAUCUAUAAUUUCCCAUAUUUAAUUUAAUUUUUGGCCAGCAAAUAAUACAUUCCAAAAAUCAUUUAAUUGAUCCAAAAAUGUUUUAUAAGCCAUUUUAAUGCAUGAUUCAUGAACUUACAUGUAUUCAAACAAUCAAUUCAUAUAAACAUUUAAGAAUCCAUAAAGCAAACACAUCACUUGUUUAUCAUGCUUAAGCAUUUCAUAGUCAUUAAAAUCAAACAAAUCCAUCAUGAUAAAGCACUUAAUGUUAUAAUGAAAUAUGAAAUAUUUACUAAGAUUAAAAGACCGUCACUUAUAAUCAAUAAGGUAAUAAUUGUUACCAAAACAAUUAAAUCAUCUUGCCUCAUUAUUUUUGCUUAGACUGUGAUCAAGUGAUUAUCUUCACAAGCUUCAUCAAGGAACUCUCCACCAUUCCUUGUUUGUGGUACCUACAAAAAAAUAUUCAAGUUGUGUGCUUUGGUACUGUUGUGAAAAUUUUAAUAUACUCGCAAGUGCACGAAUCUAGAAAUAGAGUAAUGGUAACGAGGUCGAUCCCACAGGGAUUGUUAUAAAUUGAAAAGUCUAAUUUAAAUCUAAAAUUAAUAUUAAUCCUAACCUAGUUGAGCAAAUUGAGUUUUAAAAGAAAUUAAACUAAGAAAACAAUUAAAGUAAAAGAGAAUUCAAUAGAAUAGAAAUUACCAAGGUUUCAUAAUCCACCACUAUUCAACUAGUAAUUAUCUAAAUAUUCAUUAAUCCCCAAUUUUAGAGUGACAACUCGAAACCAAUCUAUGUCAUCUCAUUGAUAUAACAAUUAAGCCCAAGUAAUUAAAUCUAAUGUAAGUUCUUUUUCUGCUUAAUAGUAUGGCAUCUAAGCAUCCCAUGUAAACAUAUUGAAUAACAAAGAGUCAAAGUUUCCUAAGCACUCUAUGUAAACAAUUUAAUGAAAGACAUAGAAUCAAAGAUAAUCAUGUAUAAACUUUAUAAAUCCAAGCAUAGAUUUAAUCGAAUAUUAAUCCUAACAAUCAAUAAUGCAUGACAGAAUUGAUGAAAAGAUUUUAAUAACAUCCAAUUAAUCAUGUGAAAUAAAAAUCAUAAUAUUAAAGAACAUAUAAAGGGAAUUAAAUAAAUAAAAAGAUAAUUAUUUCAUUGAAUAGGGUUUCAUCUUUAACCUCAGUAUAAGAAAAUUAGCUAAACAUACUUGAAUUGUGAGCAACAAAAGAAAUAAAUGCAGCCAUGAAAGUCGAACUACUGCAGAUUUUCUUCUUUGUCUCACGUUUUCCUCCUCUGGCGGCCCCUCUCUAUUCUAAAGCCAAAACUCCCUUUUAUAAUCUUUAAAAUAGGCCCCACCUCUUAAAUCCUAAAGCCAAAAGGCUUGGCCUUUUACUUGAUUUGCUCUCACACACGUCCUGGGCACUUAAAAUUGCUAAAUGACUCUUUUUUUCAAUUAUAAAAGCCAAGUGUGGGUCCCUUCUUAAAGCUAAAUCAAUUUCUCUCCUUUUUCCGCAUGUACAUGAUGAAUUAACUUGUUUAAUUCAGUUCCUUGGCUUGAUUUCCGCAUGCAUGUAUGUCUAAUUGCUUCCAAAAAUCAAUUAAUCUUUAAUGCUUACAAAUUGAACUCCUUUAUGCUCUUUUUAUCCAUAAUCUCCAAUUAAUUCCCUAUUCAAUAAAAUAAUUUAAUUAAUUAAAAAUAACAAAUAAAAAUAACUAGCAAUUAAAUAAUUAAGAGUAAAAUAUGUAUAUAAAUUAUGCUCAUCAGGUACCCAAAUAUUCUUGGGUCCUUGAGUGUUAGUAAUGGUUCCUUUUGGAACCCAAAUACAUGUUGCUCCAUAAUAUGCAUUUCUUUUAACUGGACAUCUAAGCUUCAUGUGACCAUUUUGAUUGCAAUAAUGGCAUACAAUUAUUAAUGGAGGUAGUUUUAAUAAAAUAACUCUUAUAAUAUUUUUGUUUCAAAUUUGGCUUAUAACCAAUACCUCCUUUGUCAAACACACAUUUCUGUAAAUUAAGCAAGUUAUCCAACAUCUUUUGCCCAUUUGUGAAUUUUAAAACAACAUCAUUAAGUUCAAGGUUCUUUUUCUUGAGCAUUUCAUUUUUCUUUUUCAAAUCAUCUACAUGUGGCUCUAGAUGCUCAUGUGAAGUGCUUGGUUUUUCAUUUGAUAAUGCAACUGUAUUAUGCAAAGUUUUAUUCUCUAUUUCAAGUCCUUUAAUCUUUUCAUUUAAUAAAUCAUUCUAUUUUUGUAAAGCAUCCUUUUUUAUUUUUUAAGUCAUCUACAUGUGAUUUUAGAUGUUCGUGUGAAGUGCUACAUUUCCCAUUUGAUAAUGCAACUUUAUCAUGCAAUGUUUUAUUCUCUAAUUCUAGGCAUAUAAUCUUUGCACUUAGAGAUUCAUUUUCAUUUGUGAGCUCUACCAUUUUCUUUUUAAGACAUGCAUUCUUUUUACCAAUUUUCAUCCACUCAUCAUACAAUUCUUUAAACGCAUCAUGUAAUUCAUCAUAAGUAGGAAGCUCAUUCUUUAAACGCAUCAUACAAUAAGAGAUUAUCCCCAAUCUCUUAACUCAAGUGUAUCCCAACACUUACAAUCACUCAAAGUAAAAGAUUACAAAUUGUUUUUCUCUCACACAAUAUUUAAGAUUACAAAUCAAUGCCCAAUGUGUGAAUAGAUGAAGCAAGAAUGUGUUUAAAGUUCUAUGAAGAUUGUAUUCUUGAAUAUAAGCUCAAUGGUCGUGUUGUGACCAAUUUUGUUUGAAUUUGAAUGAGCUUAUUUAUAGUUGGAGCUGAAAAACUAGCCAUUACAGACUGUCUGCCCAAAAACGGUUCGCCGUUAACCAUUAACGGUUAACCGUUUAGGCUGGUCAAAAGUUACCGUUAUGCCAAAUUUCAAAUAAACGGUUUGCCGUUUAGGCCUACCCUUUCGCCGUUAAAUUUCAAAGACCUGCAAAACAAAUUUGGUUUAACCGUUCUUACUAAACGGUUCAAGGUUAGCAAUCUGGAAAUAAUCAGUUAACCGUUUUCAGUAAACGGUUCACCGUUAUUUUCCAGAAUCAUCAUUUUAACAAUACUUUCCAGAAUAUACUUUCUGGAAAUUAUCAGUUAGCCAUUUUCAGUAAACGGUUAGCCGUUUGCUACAGUGAUUGCUACAGUGAAAUUAUUUUCUAAAUUUAUAUUUUUACCCCAAAACUUUCUAUAAUUAUACUAUGGCCCAAAUUGUCAUAAAACUUUACAAAUAAGUCCAUUUUCAGAGUUUCAAAACUUUUCAAUUUAGACCAUUAAUUGAAAACAACCAAUUUCAUAAAAUCAUUUUUCCAUUAAGUAUAAAGCCAUUAUAUUAUGAAAAUAAUGAUUUAUUUAAAAUAAUUUGAGCUUUUAAAAACUUAAAUCAUUCUUAAUCUUGUUUGUUAUCAUCAAAAUCAACAUUAUGGAUACAUAUAUGCUAACACAACUUUCUUGUAACGUAUUUCACAAGUUUAUCAAAUAAAUAGAGUGUUGUAUUUUCUUUCAAUAUGAAUGGCUAAUUUUAUUAAGCUGAGGUGAAAGGUGAAACUCAAUGUUUCAAACUAUUAAAUUUAUUAUUUUCUCAAAUGAGUUUAAAGUUUAUUUUAUUUUUUUCUAGUUAUUUUUAUGUCAUAUUAAUUUAUAAAUUUCUUUGGAUCUGUAUGGUAUUUUGACAUAAUGUCGACACAUUAAUAUAGUGUGGCACAUUAGGUACUUUAUUUCAUAUUUAUCCACACACAUAAUUAGUUGAGAAUUAAAUUAUAUAAUAAUUAACUGGAAAAAGUGAGACUAAAAAUGAGAGAGUAUUAAAAUUAUAGUUUGAAUACUGAGAGUGGAUCCCGUAGCCUUAGCUUAUUUUUAAAAUAAUUUAAAAUAAUUUCUUUGCCCAGCAAUUAAUUUUCUUAGUUUUACUAGAUUUAAAACUCCCUGUGGUUUGACCCCGGUCUCACCGGGUUAUAUUAUAACUAGACACUCUUAUACUUGAGAGUAAUACACUUUUGAGUCGUGUCACUCAAGCUUAUACAGAGCAACAAUGCCACGUCAGCAAUGGUUGUUAAGAAGAAUGCCAAAUCGUAUUAUAGUUCAGCAUCAGUUUGUUAGAUCAUUAUUAACGUACAAUGCAUAUGUAACAAAAAUAUAGUUAGUUACAAAUUGUUAUUGAGCAUGAAUAAAUACAGAGUUGUAACAAUUGAUUGGUUAAUGAAUGAAAUAUUCUGGAUUAAUUAGAAAUAUUUUCUUUGAGAUUCUCUCAAGCCAAACAAAACUUUCUUCAUUUCUUUCAAAAACCUCUCAAUAUUUCUUCUCUCCUCCCACCAUUUUUCUUCUCCAGUGUGUCAAGCUGCUUAGGGAGACUUUUGUUCUCCUCUUUGACUUCCAUUAAUUUCUUCCUCUUUUGAUCUGCUUAGUAGUGCCUUUCAUAACCUCAUCUUCUGCCUUAUCUAGUGCCACCUCUAAGGAAGAAAAACUUCUUUUGACUUUCUCCAAAGCCUCUGCCAACUGCUUGUUGUCAGCCAUUGCUAUAUCAAACUUUCCCUCUGGAGCUUCAUAGCAUACGAACACUUUCACAAUAUCAAAAUUAAUUUGUUCAAUCAGGUUUUUGUCAUUAAAUGAUCUAUAAUCAUCUUUCAUGUUACUGUUCUUGUAGUUAGAUUUGUGAGCGGUGUUUACUCUGCUCUUUUUUAUUAUUUGGUAUCCAUCAAUUUCUGACUGGCAUUUGCGCUCCUGCAAUCUGCUAAAUCAUAUCCGAAAAAUGAAAAAUUAAAAGUAAUUCGCGGUCAGAGAUGAUGAUUAAUGAGGUGAUAAUUAAACCACGAGAUCAUAAUUAAUUAGGCGAUAAUUUGAAUAAAAAUAAACAAAAUUUAUAUAGUGAUAUAAAGCUCAAUCAGUAUUAACUAACUCUGAACUGAAUAAAAAUUGAAUAAGUGAGGAGGAAAUUGAAAAAGAAAUCGACAGACUAAUAAAAGAAAACAACAACGAAACAAAAAUAUGAAAAAUGAGACCAUAUAACCGAAGCAUAUAAUCUAUAAUCAACAAAGCAAAAACAGAAAGUGAAUAAAAAUGAAACAGAAACUCGGGAAACAAAAGGAAAUGAGGCUUACUCAGUGUUAGGUUUGUUACGAGUGAGCUCUUUUGGUCCUGUCAUGGCCUCUUUCUUCGAAGAAACAGAGAAUGAUUUAAAAGAGAAUUCAAAUGAAAUUUGUUAAACUAAAUUAUGAAAGGCCCAGAAUCCAUGAAAAAUAUAGGCCCAAUUAAAAUAUUGCACAUAAAAUAAUCUAAACUUAUUCUCUAUAAGAACGGUAAAGGUACUUAAGAUUCUAACAAAAGUAUUUAAAUGCAAGAUAUGACAAAACAUAAAAAAUGUGAUUCAUGAAGGAAAAACCUAGGUGCAUUCUUUACAAAGAAUGACCUAGCUCUACUCUUUACAAAGAAUGACCUAACUCUACUCUUUACAAAGAAUGACAUAGGUCCACUCUUUACAAAGAAUGACUAACUUCCACUCUUUAAAAAGAAUGUCUUAGGUCCACUCUUUAUAAAAGAAUGACCUAGCUCGCCGGAGCCUCGCUUGAUCUGUCGUUGAAGCUCGUCUGAUAUAUUGUCGAAGCUUGCCUGAUCUGUCGAAGCUCACCUGGCCGUCCAAGGCUCCAAGCCGCGCAGUGUUUGUCGAAGUCUCGCUGCCUUGCUGUGACGCUGCUUGGCUUUUUGCUCCCUUAUUUCAAUUGCUUUUCUAUUUUUUCUGUUAAAUACAUGGCUUUUUUCUGGUUAAUUGGUAUUGUGGUUGAUUAUUUAAUUGUAUUUAAUGAGUUUAAUUUAAUGUAAAUUUUUUUAAAUUUGAAAAUGUUGCUAGCUUAAUUUAAUUUUUUUAUUAAUAAAUUGGUAUUGUGGUUAAAUAGUUGAAUUUUUAAAUUGUUAAUUGUUGAUGUUAUAUGUUAUUUAUGUUAAAUUGUUAAUUGUUGGAUUAUAAUUAAAUUUUAUUUGAUAUUAUUAAUUUAAUUGUUAAAUUUUUAAAUUAUAUUUAUUUAACUUUAAGUUUUGUGGAUCUGGAUAUCCGGAAUAUCCCCCGGAUCUAGUGCAAAUUUUACCUGCAUCUGGAUCCGCAAAAAAAUUUACGGAUCCGGAUAUGAAAAAGGCAAUCCGGAUCUGGAUCCGGAUUUUGCCAACCCUACCAGUAACCUAUCCUAAAACCAAUAAUCAUCCCAUGACAACCAGAAGUAAGUAUGAUAUUUUCAAACCUAAACUAUACACUACAACACUCAUUCAUAAGGAACCUGAUAUUGUAUCUGAAGCUUUACAAGAUCCUAAAUGAUUGAAAAUGUUGCUAGCUUAAUUUAAUUUUUUUUAUUAAUAACUUGGUAUUGUGGUUAAAUUGUUGAAUUUUUAAACUGUUAAUUGUUGAUGUUAUAUGUUAUUUAUGUUAAAUUGUUAAUUGUUGGAUUAUAAUUAAAUUUUAUUUGAUAUUAUUAAUUUAAUUGUUAAAAUUUUAAAUUAUAUUUAUUUAACUUUAAGUUUUGUGGAUCCGGAAUAUCCCCCGGAUCUAGUGCAAAUUUUACCUGCAUCUGGAUCCGCAAAAGAAUUUACGGAUCCGGAUAUGAAAAAGGCAAUCUGGAUCUGGAUCCGAAUUUUGCCAACCCUACCAGUAACCUGUCCUAAAACCAAUAAUCAUCCCAUGACAACCAGAAGUAAGUAUGAUAUUUUCAAACCUAAACUAUACACUGCAACACUCAUUCAUAAGGAACCUGAUAUUGUAUCUGAAGCUUUACAAGAUCCUAAAUGAUAUGAAGCUAUGAAGAAGAAUAUGCAGCCUUAAUGAAAAAUGGCACAUGAUCUCUAGUACCAAGAGCAGUUGAUCAUCGUAUAGUUGACAACAAAUGGGUGUAUAGAGUGAAGUAUAACACUGAUGGUAGUGUGGCUAUGUAUAAAACCAGAUUAGUUGCCAAAGGAUUUCAACAGAUUGUAGGAGUCAACUAUUUUGAAACCUUUAGUCCAGUGGUCAAACCAGUAACUGUCAAAGUAGUUUUGAGCUUGGCAGUGAUGAAUGGAUAGUAUAUCAAGCAAGUUGAUGUCAACAAUGCUUUCUUUAAUGGAGAAUUAACAGAAGAGGUUUACAUGUCUCAACCAGAAGGUUUCAUUGAUAAAAAGAAACCAGACUUUAUGUGCAAACUACAUAAAUCCUUGUAUGGCCUUAAACAAGCUCUUAGAGUUUGGUAUGACAAGUUGAAAAGUUGUUUGCUUCAAUGGGGUUUUGAUAUGCUUAGCAGUGCCUUUCAUAACCUAAUCUUCUGCCUUAUCUAGUGCCACCUCUAAGGAAGAAAAACUUCUUUUGACUUUCUCCAAAGCCUCUGCCAACUGCUUGUUGUCAGCCAUUGCUAUAUCAAACUUUCCCUCUAGAGCUUUAUAGCAUACGAACACUUUCACAAUAUCAAAAUUAAUUUGUUCAAUCAGGACUUUGUCAUUAAAUGAUCUAUAAUCAUCUUUCAUGUUACUGCUCUUGCAGUCAUAUUUACAAAGAAUGACCAACGUCCACUUUUUUAUAAAGAAUGACCUAGGUCCACUCUUUACAAAGAAUGACCUAGGUCCACUCUUUAAAAAGAAUGUCUUAGGUCCACUCUUUAUAAAGAAUGACAUAGGUCCAAUCUUUACGAAGAAUGACAUAAAUCCACUAUUUAUAAAGAAUGACAUAGGUCCACUCUUUACAAAGAAUUACCUAGGUCCACUCUUUAAAAAGAAUGUCUUAGGUCCACUCUUUAAAAAGAAUGUCUUAGGUCCACUCUUUAUAAAGAAUGACCUAGAUCCAAUCUUUACAAAGAAUGACAUAAGUCCAUUAUUUAUAAAGAAUGACAUAGGUCCACUUUUUACAAAGAAUGAACAAGGUCCACUCUUUACAAAGAAUGACUAAGGUCCACUCUUUACAAAGAAUGACCAAGAUCCACUCUUUACAAAAAAUGACCAAGGUCCACUCUUUACAAAAAAUGACCAAUGUCCACUCUUUACAAAAAAUGGCAAGAUCGUCUCUUUAUAAAAAAUGAAUAAGAUCCUCUCUUUAGGCUGAAGAUAAUGCUUAUACUUUUAUUUGAUUGUUGUCAUUAAUCUGAUGGAAGAAGUAAACACAAUUUUUUUUUUUUAUAAAAUAUUUCAAUUUGAGUUUGAAAUUUUACUAAACUUUUAUCGCUUAAAUUAAUAGGGCCUAACAAUAAGCUGGUUGGGGGGUGUGAUUGACAAUUUCAAAAGGUCUAAUCCAAAUCCAUAUUCUCAAACUUACAACUCUGGUUGGAAAAACCACCUAAAUUUCAGUUGGAGAAAUGAUAAUCAUGCACAACCUUCACAAUCAGUUCCUUUACGUUAAAAUUUCCAAAAUUCCCAGAGUUACCAACCCUAUGUCCCACCACCAAGAAAAACUCUGGAAGACACAUUGCAUUCGUUUAUUGAAAAAUAAGAGUCAAUCAAUAAUCAAACGAUGCAAACCUUAACCAAUUUGACAUAAAUUAUCUCUAAAUUUACAUCUGCUCUGACCAUGCAUGAAAAAGGAAAGUUUCCUGCUCAACUUGUAGCAAACCCCAAGAGUCAACAACAUCCUCAAAUGGGAUAUUCAGGAAACCAAAACAUGAGUCAAGUCAAAUCAGUUAUAACCCUUCGUGGUGGUAAAGUGGCGAAAAACACAUUGUGGACCCUCGUGAAACUAGUAAAGAUUCAAUUUCAGAAAAUAUGGAAGAGCAUGUCGAACCUUUAACCCAUGAAGAAAUAACCAACUCUUCUCUUGUACCCCCAUUUCCUCAAGCACUAAUCAAGCCAAAGAAAUCAAACCACAGUCCAAAAAUUUAUGAAGUUUUUAAACAAGUAAAGGUCAACAUUCAUCUACUGGAUGUCAUUAAAUAUGUACCUUCUUAUGCUAAAUUUCUGAAAGAUCUGUGCACGGUGAAAAGGAAACAUAAGGUGCAAAAGAGAGCUUUUCUAGCAAAACAGGUAAAUUCCAUUCUCUUAACCAAUAGUGCUUUGAAAUACAAGGAUCCUGGUUGUCCAACUAUUUCUUGCACUACUGGGAUCAUAAAAUUGAACAUGCUCUACUUGAUCUUGGUGCCAGUGUUAAUUUGCUUCCCUACUCAGUUUACCAACAACUCAAUCUCGGUGUGUUAAAACCAACUUCUACCACUCUUUUACUUGCUGAUAGAUCGAUUAAAGUUCCAAGAGGAAUAAUUGAAGAUGUAUUAGUCCAAGUCGAUAAAUUCAUAUAUCCUGUGGAUUUUAUUAUUUUGGAAACGGAACUAAUUGCUAAUGAAUGCAAACAAAUUCUUGUUAUAUUGGGUCGACCAUUUUUAGCUACUGCUAAUGCUUUGAUAAAUUGCAUUCAUUGUUGUAACACAAGUAGUAAAUGGGUAAGUCCAACACAAGUAGUACCAAAGAAAUUUGGAAUAAUUGUUAUAAAAAAUGAAAAAGGUGAACCAAUCCCAACACGAAUUCCAUCUAGUUGGCGCAUGUGCAUUGAUUACAGAAAAUUAAAUGAUGCCACUAGAAAAGAUCAUUUUCCCCUUCCAUUUCUAGACCAAAUUCUCGAAAGAGUAGCUGGACAUCCCUACUAUUGCUUUCUUGAUGGCUACUCUGGCUAUUAUCAAAUCCCUAUAGCCUUAGAAGACCAGGAAAAGACCACAUUCACAUGCACAUUCGGAACAUUUACAUUUAGGAGAAUGCCCUUUGGACUUUGUAAUGCUCCUGCAACAUUUCAAAGGUGCAUGCUAAGUAUUUUUAGUGACAUGAUUGAAAAUUGUCUAGAGGUUUUUAUGGAUGAUUUAAUUGUAUUUGGUAAUUCUUUUGAUACAUGUCUUGAUAAUUUAGAAAAUAUUUUGGAAAUGUGCAAAGAAAAAGGACAAGUUUUAAAUUGGGGAAAAUGUCAUUUCAUGACCACUUCUGGAAUUGUAUUGGGCCAUGUUGUGUCUUCAAAAGGAAUUGAAGUUGACAAAGCCAAAGUUGAAGUCAUUUCAAAAUUACCCUCACCAAAGACAAUUAGAGAAGUCCGUUCCUUUUUAGGACAUGCAGGAUUUUAUAGGAAAUUUAUAAAAAACUUUAGUGCCAUAUCUAGACCACUUUGUAACCUCCUAAUAAAAGACACACCUUUUGAAUGGACUAAAGAUUGUCAACAAGCUUUUGAAAAAAUAACUACUCUUUUGACAUCAGCCCCAAUAAUGCAACCCCCUGAUUGGUCUUUACCUUUUGACCUAAUGUGUGAUGCUAGUGAUUAUGUUGUUGGCGCUGUUCUAGGUCAAAGAAAGGAAGGUAAGCCCUUUGUCAUCUAUUAUGCAAGUAGAACUUUGACUAGUGCUCAAACGAAUUACACUACAACUGAGAAACAACUACUUGCUGUAAUAUUUUCAUUGGAUAAAUUUUGUUCGUAUUUAAUUUGUUCAUCCACUAUUGUUUAUUCUGAUCAUGCUGUUGUGAGAUAUUUAUUAUCAAAACAAGAUGUCAAACCAAGGUUGAUACGAUGGAUUUUACUACUUCAAGAAUUUAACUUGACAAUUAAGGACAAAAAGGGCGCUGAAAAUGUUGUUGCAGAUAAUCUUUCAAGACUUACGAAUGAGUUUUCAAUUGAAACAACACCCAUCAAUGAUUCUUUCCCUAAUGAAUUUUUAUUUUCUAUAAACAAAAUGUCUUGGUUUGCUAAUAUUGUUAAUUAUCUUGCAACAGGUGAAAUGCCAUGUGACUGGAGUUCCCAGGAUAAGAAGAAAAUCUUAACAGAAGUGAGAAACUUUUACUGGGAUGAUCUAUACCUGUUCAAGUACUGCUCUGAUCAAAUUUUUUGAAGAUACAUACCAGACGACGAGGUAAGUAUGGUCAUUCAAUUUUGUCAUUCUGAAGCAUGCGGUGGCCAUUUUUCUUCAAAAAAGACAGCUGUAAAAAUAUUACAGUGUGGAUUUUAUUGGCCUACAUUAUUUAAAGAUUCACAUGCAUUCUGUAAAAUGUGUAAGAAUUGUCAAAUGGUAGGGUCUAUUUCACAGCCAAACAUGAUGCCUUUAAACCCCAUCCUUGUCAUUGAAAUAUUUGAUUGUUGGGGAAUUGAUUUUAUGCGCUCUUUUCCAUCAUCAUUUGGAUUUGUAUACAUUUUGGUUGUUGUUGAUUAUGUUUCAAAAUGGAUCGAGGCGAUUCCUUGUCGGCACAAUGAUUACAAGAUUGUGAUCCGCUUUUUAAAAGAAAAUCUUUUGAGCAGAUUUGGAAUACCUCGAGCCAUCAUCAGUUAUGAAGGUAAACAUUUUUGUAAUAAGCCAUUUGAGUCCUUAAUGAAGAAUUAUGGAAUUACACAUAAAGUUGCUACCCCUUAUCACCCUCAAACAAGUGGUCAAGUUGAAUUAGCAAAUAGAGAGAUAAAACAAAUUUUAGAAAAAACAAUUAAUCCAAACCUUAAAAAUUGGUCUCUUCGACUAACUGAUGCACUUUGGGCAUAUCGUACUACUUUUAAAACAUCUUUAGGAAUGUCAUCCUAUCGGCUUGUUUAUGAAAAAUCUUACCACUUACUUGUUGAACUUGAACAUAAAUCAUUUUGGGUCAUUAAAGCUUUUCAUUCAAAUCUUAAUGAUGCUGGUAAUGUAUGUAAAUUGCAAUUAAAUGAACUUGAGGAAUUAAGGAAUGAUGCAUAUGAGAAUUCCAGAAUUAUUAAGGCAAGAACCAAAUUUUUUCAUAACAAAAGAAUUUUUCGGAAAACAUUUGAAAUUGGUCAAAAAGUGUUGCUUUAUAAUUCUCGUCUUCAUUUAUUUCCAGGAAAGUUAAGGUCAAAGUGGAAUGGUCCAUUUGUUGUAAAAAAUGUAUCCAUAUGGAGCCGUAGAAAUUGAGAAUCCAAAGGGUUGUGUCACAUUUAAAGUUAAUGGUCAAAGAUUGAAACCAUAUCUGGAAUACCAACCACGUGAAGCAAAUACCGAAAUCAAUUUGAGUGACCCACCAAAUUUUGAUUAAGCCUUUUCAUUUUUAACUUUUUGUGAAUUUGAUUUACUGUUACUUUAUCGUUUGAUUUUUUUUCUUUUUCCUUUUCCUUAUGUCUUGAAUAGAGUGCAUUGCAUUGUUUUAAUUGUGUGUUGUUUGACAAUUGUAAUUUAGCUCACCAACUUUUUAUACUUGUCAUGAGUACCUCCAUGAGAAAUUUUCUUUUCAAUCAUCUUAAAACGCUUUUACAUGUAAAAUUUCACUUGAGGAAAUUGCUCCGAUUUUGUAAAUCAUAUCCCAUUUGGGAUCUACAACCACCAGAGUUAGUAUCCGACGUGAAAGAUCUAGAAAGAUAACUCAAGGAAAUAGAGGAUGGUAUUUAUAAUCUGCAAUUGGAACUGGAGGUAAAUUCAAUAAAAAGACGAAGGUGAGUUAUAUUCCUUGUGUGUUUUUGUUUUAUUUUGUUCUUCUUCUUUGCUUUUGAUUUGAUUUUGCAAAUUUGAUUCGUUUUGUUUUGAUUUACUCUCCCGUAUAAAUGGCGGAUAACAGUACUCCGUGACUUUUUAAGUCGGUAUUCUCAGUUUCCCACAAUAACUGAAACCUCAAUGUCAAGCAUGGAAGAAAUACAACGAAAUUUGCAUCAAUGUUUUCCUUCUCUCCCUCAAAAUGCUCUUAAGAAUAUUUACAAAGCUCGUUGUGAACGACUGCAUUUGUUAAUGAUCAAUGGGAUUCUUGCUGACAUUUGCUGGUUAAUUGAAGCAAAGGUCCGAUUGGCAGGUGAGUUUUCUGAUCAUUCAUUUCCUACAUGCCUGGUUUUGGUAAAAGUACAUUUGCUAAGAAAAGAAGAGCUAAGCGAUUUGGCUCUGAAUGUUCUCACUGUGUAAGACUUGCUUGCAAAAAGCCACGUUGUAAAGCUUUAGGAAUGGUUUCUAUAAAUCGUGAAGAUAAAAUCAAAUUCGUUAAGGAUGGCAUGAGUAAAGAAUCGUUGGAUGAUAUCUUACGAUCUCUUGAGACGCAUCCGAGCGGAUAUGUUCAACGUGAAAUUCAAAAUUUGUGGAAGUUGUUCCAAAAGGAAAGUGCACAGUUUAGUCUUGGAAAUCUGACUCUAAAAGACCAUGUUUGUCAGUUUAUAAGAAAACUGGAUGGGAAGCAUAUCCUCGACCCAUAGAGGGCGUUAAAGCCGUUACUGGACGUAAAACCAGAGGAAGAUGUGAGCCACAAUAACAACUACUAGUAAAUAUCCUUUUAUUUACUCUUUACAAAGAAUGACAUAGGUCCGCUCUUUCCAAAGAAUAAUCAACGUCCACUCUUUACAAAGAAUUACCAACGUCCACUCUUUACAAAGAAUGACAUAGGUCCACUCUUUAAAAAGAAUGUCUUAGGUCCACUCUUUAUAAAGAAUGACCUAGGUCCAAUCUUUACAAAGAAUGACAUAAGUCCACUAUUUACAAAGAAUGAUCUAUGUCCACUUUUUACAAAGAAUAAACAAAGUCCACUCUUUACAAAGAAUGACCAAUGUCUACUCUUUACAAAAAAUGACCAAAAUCCUCUCUUUAUAAAAAAUGAAUAAGAUCUAUUCUUUACAAAGAAUAAUCUAGGGUCAUUCUUUACAAAGAAUGACUUAGGUCCAUUCUUUAUAAAGAAUGGGGAAUGACUUAGGAACUUAGAAAAUAUUUCUAAGUAAAACACUCAAAUGACGAAUAUUCGAUAAAGUGCCAAAGACAAGAUUUAAUAAAGAGCGACUUAGGUCCGUUCUUUACAAAGGACGACCUAGGUCAAUUCCUAACAAAUGACGACCUAGGUCCAUUCGUAACAAAGAACGAUCUAGGUCCAUUCUUAACAAAGAAAAACCUAAGUUCAUUCUUAAUAAAGAACGACAUAGGUCUAUUCCUAAUAAAAAACGAUAUAGGUCUAUUCCUAAUAAGGAGCAACCUAGGUUCAUUCUUAAUAAAGAACGACUUAUGUUCAUUCCUCACAAAGAACGACCUAGGCAUUUAGAAAAAUAUUUCUAGAUAAAAUACCUAAAGGGCAAGUCUUCGACAGAGGGCUAAAGGCAUGAUUCAAAAAAGAAUAACCCAGACGUUUAGAAAAUAUUUCUAAGUAAGAGCACGUGUUAAGGAUAAGGUUAGUAUUAGCUCAGCAAUAUUCAUUACGUCAGUUAAAUAAUAGAUUCACAAUAUACAAAAAUAUCAAGUUUCAUUGAAUUUCUCUUUCUCUCUGUUAUGAUUUUCCCUUAGUUUUUCUUAGUAACCAAACACUAUUAUUGAUCUUUAACUUGGUAUCAAAGCCAAGAACACUGAUUCUCAUGGCUACACUAAGCUUGAAUACAAACGUUUUAUCCUCGAUCUCAUCUUAUACAUUCACAACUCCGAUCAAACUUGAUCGUUCCAACUAUACAAUCUGAAAAUCAUAAAUUAUUUUCUCAGUGAAAGCUAAUGAACUUGAAAACCUCCUCGAUGGCUCACGAGCUUGUCCAGAUAAGUUUCUUGCUGUUAAUCCAACAAAUUCUGAUGUUGUUGCACAAGAGAAUCUUGCUUAUGUUGUAUGAAAGAAACAAGAUCAAAUGUUGCUGAGUUGGUUAUUGUCCUCCAUCACUGUCGAGAUUCUGAGUCUUGUGGUAACAUCUAAAACUUCUCAUGAACUCUGGACUAGUUUAGAACAAUAAUUUAGUUCUGAAAUUGAUGUUAAGAAAGUUCAUUUAAAAAUGAUGUUAAAUGAUCUAAAGAAAGGAUCUCUAUCUGUUACUUAUUAUUUUAGCAAAUUAAGAUCAGUGACUGGUGAGUUGGCUACUGCUGGUAGUCCAAUUAGCUCUUCAGAUUUCAUCACACACUGAAUCUCUGGCCUAGGGCAACCUUACUAUCCAGUUGUUGUGUAUAUUGAAGCUAAUAUUCUUAAGAUGAGCAUUAAUGAGGCCUAUUCCAUGCUCUUGAUUCGUGAAACUAGGUUAUAGAAUGCACAAUCUAGUGCUUGUAAAGAGGCAAAACUGAACUAUGCAGCUAAUGUAGCUCAGACUAAAAACAUACAGAAGAAGUCAGGCAAUAAUAGAAAUUGGAAUAAUAAUAACAAUAAUAAUCAAAGGAACUGGAAUAGAAAUUAUGCCAAUACGAAUGGAAAUGGUAGCUGGAGUAGUAACAAAGGAGGUUAUGGAUCAGGAAGAGGUGCAUAUAUAGGACAAAACUCUGGAAGAUGAUGGAAUGGUAAUCAUGGGAGAGGUGGUUUCACUGGUAAUGGUGGUUUCAAUAGUAACAAUGGUGGUUUUGCUGGUGUCUUUCCUGGAUUUUGGAAGAGGAGGUGGUAGAAAAUUUAUAAUUUGUCAGAUCUGUUUUAAGCAUAACCAUUCUGCAGCUGAGUGCAGGGACGGGUUCAAUAGAAACUUUGUUCCAAAUCUUCCAGUGAAUGGCCAUUAUCUUAAUCAAAAUCAAUCUUCCAAAGCUGCUUACAUGGCUACUUCAGAAGGCAUUGCUGAUCAAGGAUGGUACCUGGAUAGUGGAGCAACUCAUCAUCUUACAAAUAAUGUGUAGAAUAUUGCUGAAGGUAAACCCUAUAUUGGUUCUCAGUUGCUACUGGUUAGUAAUGGUGAAGAGUUUAACAUUACACAUAUUGGUUGCACAUGAUUUCAUACUUUUUUUUUAACCUCAUUAAACCUGAAUAAUGUCUUAUGUGUACCAAAAAUCACUAAAAACCUUAUUAGCAUUUCCAAACUUCUAUCAAACAAUAACAUAAUCAUUGAAUUUUCUUCUAAUUUGUGUUUUGUUAAGGACAAGAUGGAGGGAAUAUUGCUAGCACAGGGGAUUGCUAAAGGUGGCCUCUACAAACUACUAUCACAAGACGAUUCUGAUAUUGUCUUCAAGUCUGAAAGUCUUAGUUUAAAGCCUAGCUCAAUGCUGUCAGUUCUUCAAAAUAAAGGAUUUGUAAACUCUUUACAAAAAUCUAGCAGUCUUAUGUCUGUCAGCCCAGCUUCUUUUCAUUCCAAUAAUCUAGAGUUAAAUAACUCUAAUCCUGAAAGUUUUCUUACUUCAAUUCAGUUGUUACAUAACAGGUUUGGGCAUCCAAAUAAACAUGUUUUACAAACAAUAAUAAGAAAGCUUCAUUUGCAUCAUAUUUCAAAUCAAUCUCUUCAAUUAUGUGAUGCUUGUCAAUGUGGAAAACUGCAUCAGUUUCAUUUUCCUGUUACUGAAACAAAAUCCAGAUCUCCACUUGAAUUACUAUAUACUGAUUUAUGGGGUCCAGCUUCUGAGUGUUCUAUGGAUGGUUACAAAUAUUACAUUUCUUUUGUUAACGAUUUCACUAGAUAUAGCUGGAUUUUCCCUCUCACUCUUAAAUCAGAAGCACUUGAUACCUUUAAACAUUUCAAAACUCUUGUUGAAAAAUAGUAUUAUUUGCCUAUUAAAGCCUUGCAAUCAGACAUGGGGGGUGAUUUUAUAGAUUUCAAAACAUUUCUUCAACAAGAAGGUAUUCAGUUUAGAUUUAGUUGUCCAUACACUCACCAUCAAAAUGGUACCGUUGAAAGAAAACACAGGCAUAUAGUGGAAACUGGUCUUACUCUUCUUGCUCAGUCACAUUUACCUAUAUCUUUUUUGUGGGAGGCAUUUCAUACGGGCUCUUAUCUUAUCAAUAGGAUGCCUACACAAGUUCUAGGAAAUUUCUCUCAUUUUCAUAAACUACAUAAUCAGUUGCCUGGUUGUAUGUUUCUCAAAGUGUUUGGUUAUUCUUGUUUCCCUCUACUCAGGCCAUACAAUCAGCAUAAACUUGACUUCCAUACUAAAAAAUGUGUUUUUAUUGGCUACAGUCCACUUUAUAACGGAUAUAAAUGUCUGGAUAGAUCUGGAAGAGUCUUUGUUGCAAGGCAUGUUACAUUCAAUGAAACAGAAUUUCCAUAUUCUGAGUUGUUCUCAAAACAUGCAUCUUCUACUUUAUAUGAGUCUAAUUCAAUUCCUUCAUCUCCUGUUCAAAUCUAUUUCUUUCAAAAUUCUACUUCUUCUGACAGUAGUAAUGGAGGAUCACCUACUGCUAUCUUUGCUCCAACAAUGUCUCAUGUAUCUACCCCUUCUUCAGCACAACAAUCCUCUUUAAAUUCAUCACCCAACCAUUCUUAUAUUCCACCUUCUUCCAUUGAAUCUCCUCAACCUGUACAGUCUUUGCAACCUUUACAACCCAUACAUCCAAUGAUUACCAGAGCUAAAGCUGUAAUUUUCAAGCCCAAAACCUAUAUUAUUGUUACUCAAAAUCUUGAACCAACCAAUUUUAAGGCUGCUCUACAAGAUUCCAAAUGGUAUCUGGCAAUGAAAGAAGAGUUUGAAGCAUUACAGAAAAAUAAUACCUGGACAUUGGUACCUCCACAUGCAGCUGCAAAAAUAGUUAGGAAUAAAUGGUUGUAUAGAGUCAAGUAUAAUCCAGAUGGAAGUAUAGCUAAAUACAAAGCUCGUUUGGUGGCUAAAGGCUUUCAUCAAACCCAUGGAAUUAAUUUCUUUGAAACUUACAGUCUAGUAGUAAAAUCUUGCACAAUCAGAAUAGUUUUAAGCUUGGUUGUUAUGCAUCACUGGUCUAUAAGGCAAUAGGAUGUGAAUAAUGCAUUUUUGAAUAGUUUAUAUACAGAGGAUGUUUUUAUGCAUUAGCCUGAAGGUUUUCUGGAUCCUCAAUAUCCUUCUUAUAUUCACAAACUAAACAAAGCUUUAUAUGGAUUAAAGCAAGCUUCAAGAGCCUGGUAUGACAAGUUGAAGAGUUCUCUGCUAGAAUGGGGUUUUCAAACAUCCAAGGCAGAUACUUCUUUUUUUUUUAAAGCAUGUUGGUGAUGAUAUUUUGCUUAUACUUGUCUAUUUUGAUGAUAUUAUGAUUACUAGAUCAAACUCUCAGUUUCUUCAAGCUGUUAUUCAGCAUCUGCAUUCUGACUUUGCUCUUAAAGAUCUUGAUGAAUUCAAUUAUUUUCUUGGAAUUGAAGUCACUCAAUCUAUUGAUGGUUUGCAUCUCUCUCAAACUAAAUAUAUUUGUGAUAUUCUUAAAAAGGCCAAUAUGAUGUAGAGUAAAGGGUAUUCCACUCCUAUGAGUACUAGUGAUAAGCUCUAUAAGGAUAAAUAUGUUGCCUUUGAUAAUCUUUCUAUAUAUCGAAGCAUUGUUGGUUCUCUACAAUAUCUUCUUUUAACAAGACCUGAUAUAGCUUAUGUUGUUAAUAAGCUCAGUCAGUUCAUAAAGCCCCAACAGUUCUUCAUCGGCAAGCCUGCAAUAGGGUCCUUAGACAUCUCCAAAGCACGGCUCACUUUGAAAUCCAGUUCUUUCAUUCAAGUUCCUUAACCUUGAUUGCUUAUUCUGAUGCAGAUUGGGGAUCUGAUCUCGAUGAUAGAAGGUCUGUUGGUGGGUAUUGUGUGUUUUUAGUUCAUAAUCUCAUCUUCUAGUCUUCCAAAAAACAGCCUAUAGCAUCUAAAUCUUCAGCAGAAUCUGAGUAUCGUGCUCUGGCCUUAACUACAUCAGAGGUCUUGUGGAUUACUUACUUGCUUCAAGAACUUAAAGUGUCUCUUACUCAAACUCCAGUUUUACUCUGUGAUAAUCAAAGUGCAGAGGCCUUAGCUAGUAAUCCAAAAUUUCACUCUCGUACAAAGCAUAUUAAAUUGGAUCUCCACUUUGUUAGAGAGCACAUUGUAAAGAAGCAGCUUAUUGUUCAUCAUGUUUCCAGUUCUGACCAACUAGCUGAUGUUCUUACUAAACCCCCCCCCCCUUGAUCAUUUUACCUUUCUUCACAGCAAGCUUAAUGUCUUUCCUCGACCUUAAGUUUGAGGAAGGGUGUUAAGAAUAAGCUCAGCAUUAGCUCAGCAAUAUUCAUUAAGUCAGUUAAACAACAGUCUUUGGUGAUGUGGCUGCCGAGUCAGCGAGGUUGUUAUUAGUUUGUUAUUAACAGAGUCAGACUUGGCUCAUGCAUUUCGUGUGUUUAGAAAGUUCGAGACAUUAGUAUAAAUUAGCCUUGUAAAUUAGAUUCACAAUAUAAAAAAAUAUCAAGUUUCAUUGAAUUUCUCUUUCUCUCUAGUUAUGAUUUUCUCUUAGUUUUUCUUAGUAACCAAACACUAUUAAUCAGAGAAAUUGAUCUUUAACUACACGUGAACUGCUAAGCAUUCUACGGAGUGCGCCUAUGGGUAAAUAUACAUUUUACAGAAUGCGCCUACGAGCAAAUACACAUUCUACAGAAUGUGCCUACGGGCAAAUACACAUUCUACGGAAUGCGCCUACGGGCAAAUACACAUUCUACGGAAUGCGCCUCCGGGCAAAUACAUAUUCUACGGAAUGCGCCUCCGGGUAAAUACACAUUCUACGGAAUGCACCUACGAAUAAAUACAUAUUCUACAGAAUGUGCCUACGGGUAAAUAUACAUGUUACGGAAUGCACCUACGGGCAAAUAUACAUUCUACGGAAUGAGCCUAUAGGCAAAUACACAUUCUACGGAAUGGGCCUCCAGGCAAAUCCACAUUUUACAGAAUGAACCUCUAGGCAAAUUCGUACCGAGCAAAUACAUAUUCUAUGAAAAGCACUUACGAACAAAUACACAUUCUACAAAAUGUGCCUACGAUAAAUAUACAUUCUACGAGAUGCGCCUAGAGGCAAAUAUAUGUAUUCUAAGGAAUACAUCAACGGGCCAAUAGACAUUUUACGAAACAAGUUUCCAGAUUAACAAACAUUCUGCGGAAUGUGCUUACGAGCAAAAUGUUAAAAAUCAAUCCUCUUUGUAAGGAACCAAUAUAAGUGCUGAAUUUAAGCUAAAGUCCAUUUAAAGUUAAGUGCCCAAAAACAUGACAAAUGUCCAAAGAUUACUUGUCAUGAACAAGUAUUGACAUAUAUGAAUAUGUGUCUCCAUGCAUGCGUUUUUGCUGACACUUGUCACAAGAAAAAUGCCAUAUAACCUCUCUAAUUGACUAUGAGUUGCUUAUAUAAAGUCCAAGAGUCCUCAUUUGAAGGUAAGAGAAAAAAGGGUAAAGAAAUGUUGUCAUUCUCUCUUUAGAUUCUCUCUCUAUAAUCAAAUUUGAAAGGUUGACUUGAGCGUCGGAGGGUUAUCAUCAGGUAUCCUUUGAUAAUUGUUUCUUUUUGCAGAACAAUUAACCACAAUGAGACAUGUGAUUUGAGACACUCGCCUCAAGGAAAAAAAUAAGAUGCAAAACUUGAUUUAGAAAAAAGUCUGAAACACAAAUCAAUCGUUGUACAUUGAGCAAAAAUUUGCAUUAAUAGUUGGCGCCAUCUGUGGGGACUUGAACAAAAAGCCAAAAUGGUUUAUCUUGGGCAUCAAUGAUUACAACUACUUUGAUCUUGUGGCUAGUGAUUAAAGUUUAAUGGAGGCAAAGAUCCAUUUCCAACAAAAAAUAUUCUUGGUUGAGUCGGGUAGUGAAUCGACAGUUGUAUCUGGUAAAUUUUUUAAAAAACUACUUAUACGCUAUAGCAAAAACCACCUAUCCUAUAGUAGAUUUUGAAAAGUAGCAUUUAAAAAUAUGAUUUUGAGAAUUAGUUUUAUACUUAAUAUAAUGUAUACAUCGUCAUAGAUAUCAUAAAAAUAUGAAAUUAUUCUUAUUAAUUAAAGAACAAAAUCAUUAACUUCAAAGAGAUUAUUAUUGUUGCUCAUUAUUGAGAUAACAAAAUAAAAAAUAAAAUUAAUAAUAUAAAAUAUUUAUCUUAGUUAUCAAUGAUUAUAUAUACACAAUAAAAAAUAUUUUAUAUACAUAUUUAUAAAUGUGUAAAUAAAUUUUAUUUAACAUUAUGUCAAAUUUAGUCAUUUAUAUUCUUAUAGUAAUUUAUCAACAGGAUUUACCAAACACAUAUAAGUGCUUUUAAAACUCACAGCACUUUUAAAAUAUAAAUUUUACUAAACGUUUAACUAAUUCUCUUCACAACUGAUUAUUUUUAUAGAACAGCUAACAACAAUUACUUUAAAAGUUAUAGUAUUAGUAAACUGACCCUUAGUCAAUUUCUUAAAAAUUUUACAUUUGAACCCUUUAUGUUAUGGAAGUUUUAUUAUAUCCAUAUCCUCUCAACGAGAACUAUUCACAAUUUUAUUAUUUAAAAUUUAUUCGAAUGGGUCUAACAUAGAGCUAAUAUAGGAUAUUCAUGAAGAUUUCGGAACGUAAAUAUUACUAUAUAAUUAUGAAUGGCUUAUUCGACAUGAUAUCAUAAUAUAUUAAUUUUUUUUGUUUAAAAAGCCUUAUUAUUAUAUGAAAAGUAAAACUUAAAUCUUUCUACACAACAUGAAAAGUACAGUUAUGUAGCCAAACUUCAACGACAAAGAGAGAGGUUAGCCACAAAUUAUAAAAAAGUGUACAACUAAUUUUGAAAUUCACCCGACUAAAGAAAAAAACUUAUGUUGUAAUUGUACCGGUGGCCAACAAGCGGCUUAAUCGUUGAAAUAGAGUGUCUUGACAAAACGCUUAAGAGUGUGUCUCGUUGUAUCUUCCAAAUGGCAAGUCAUCGACAAAACGCUAAGGUGUAAUUCAUUAUACAUUAAUGACCUAGGUCCUUAGAAAAAUUCUAAGUAAAAUGCCCGAAUGGUACGUAGUCGACAAAACGCCAAGGCGUAAUUCAUUAUACAUUAAUGACCUAGGUUAAUUUCCACAAAAGUGACCUAGGUCUUUAGAAGAAAUUUCUAAGUAAAGCGCCCAAAAAGCGAGUCUUCGACAAAACGUGGGGGCUCGAAUGGAAAAAAAUGACCUAGGUCAAUUUUCACAAAAAAGACCUAAGUCCUUAUAAGAAAUUUCUAAGUAAAGCGCCCAAAAGGUGAGUUUUCGAUAAAAUGCCGAGGGCAUGACUUUAAAAAAAAUGACAUAUGUCAAUUUUCAUAAAAGUGGCCUAGAUCCUUAGAAGAAAUUUCUAAAUAAAGUGCCCAAAAGGCGAGUCUUCGACAAAAUGCCGACGGCAUGACGUAAAAAAAAAAAAGACCAAGGUCAAUUUUCACGAAAGUGACCUAGGUUCUUAGAAGAAAUUUCUAAACAAAACGCUCAAAAGGCUAGUCUUCGGCAAAACGCCGAGGGCGUGAAUGGAAAAAAAUGACCUAGGUCAAUUUUCACAAAAGUGACUUAGGUCCUUAGAAGAAAUUUCUAAAUACAGCGCCCAAAAGGCAAAUCUUUGACAAAAUGCCGAGGGCGUGACUUAAAAAAAAAUGACCUACGUCAAUUUUCACGAAAGUGACCUAGGUCCUUAGAAAAAUUUUCUAAACAAAGCGCCCAAAAGGCGAGUCUUCGACAAAACACCGACGACGUGACUUAAAAAAAAUUACCAAGGUCAAUUUUCAUGAAAGUGACCUAGGUCCUUAGAAGAAAUUUCUAAAUAAAGCACCCAAAAGGCAAGUCUUCGACAAAACGCCAAAGGCGUAAAUUAAAAAAAAAAAGUGACCCCGGUCAAUUCUCAUAAAAGACCUAGGUACUUAGAAAAAAUUUCUAAUUAAAACGCCCAAAGGGCGAGUUUUCAAUAAAACGCUGAGGGCAUAACUUAAAAAAAAAGAAAGUGACCUAGGUCAAUUCUUACAAAAUGAUCUAGGUUCUUGGAAGAAAUUUCUAAGUAAAGCACUUAAAAGGCGAGUUUUCGACAAAAUGCCGAGGGCACGACUUGAAAAAAAAAAAAGAAAAAUGAGCUAUGUCAAUUUUCACAAAAGUGACCUAGGUCUUUAGAAGAAAUUUCUAAGUAAAGCGGCAAAAAGGCAAGUCUUCGACAAAACGCCGAGGGCGUGACUUGAAAAAAAUAUGACCUUAGUCAAUUUUCACGAAAGUGACCUAAGUCUUUUAAAGAAAUUUCUGAAUAAAGCAUCCUAAAGGCGAGUAUAAGACAAAAUGCUAAGGUGUAAUUCAUAAUACAUGAACGACCUAGGUGUUUUUUCACAAGAUUGACCUAAGUCCUUAUAGGAAAUUUCUAAGUAAAACGCCCAAAAGGCGAGUCUAAGACAAAACGUCAAGGCAUAAUUCAUAAUACAUGAACGACCUAAAUAUAUUUUCUCAAGACUGACCUAGGUCCUUAUAAGAAAUUUCUUAGCAAAACGCCUAAAUGGCGAGUCAUAGAUAAAACGCCAAGGCAUAAUUCAUGAACGACCUAGGUCCGUUUUCACAAAAGUGACCUAGGUUCUUAGAAGGAAGUUCUAAGUAAAAUGCUCAAAUGGCGAGUUGUCGACAAAACGCCCGGGCAUAAUUCAUUAUACAUGAAUGACGUAGGUCUAAUUACUUAGAAUUAAUUUUCUAAGAAAAACACCUAUGGGGCGGAUUAUGAUAAAAGAAGACCUAGGUCUAAAUACUUAAAAUUAAAGUUCUGCGAAAUUGCCUAUGGGCGGAUUAUGAUAAAAAGAUCUAGGUCCUUUCUUUUAAAGAAUGAUCUGGGUCUAAUCACUUAAAAUUAGUUUUCAAAGAAAACCGCCCAUGAGUGAAUUUUGAUAAAAGAUCUGAGGGCAUUUGGUGCUUGGAAAAUAUUCCAAGUAAAACAUUAAAAGGCAAAUGAUUGUCUAAAACGCCUAAAGACAUGUUAAAUAAAAAUGUCCCAGAGAAUUAGUGUUGACGAGAAGAGCCUUAAGGCCAAUGUCAAAAAGCACAAGGGCAACUGUGGACUAAAUCUCCUAAGUGCGGAUGUUGAAUAAAACACCUAAUCUUAAGUUUUUAACAAACAGCAGUAGCUUAAGGGUCUAACUCUUCUCUUUUGGUAGGUAGGGUUUAUCUGUUGUAUAUUCGUGCCCAAUUUAUUUCUGUUUUCGUUUUAGCUUCAUCUUCCCAAGCGAAGUCCCAACUAAUAAGGUCUAGGGCGGCGCUUCAUUGUUUUAUUAUUAUUAUUUUUUUAGUUUUCGGUUUCUAGCUCUAUGGCUUAUGAUCUUGAAGCCAAAGCUACCGCCACCAGCAGUAGUGAUCAUCAUGUCAGAAGGGAAAAGAUUUCGUCCGGCGCAUCAGCAACAGCCUCGCGGAUCAGCAAGAAAAAAAAAAUCGAGAAGAAGAAGAAAAGGCAGAAAAGGUUUGGAGGAAUAUAUUACAAAUAUUAUGGAAGACUCCUGAAGAUGCAAUCAACGAUAAAUUUGAAUUGGAGUUAAUGCGGGGUGAAAACGUGAAAUUGAAACGGGAAAAUCAAAGACUUUCAAGUGAGCUUGAAGCAGCAUCAAUAGAAAACGAGAACAUAAAUAAGAGAAAAAAACAAAGGUGGGAUCAUUAGCGAACUAAGUUAGGUGCUUCAAGCCGCUAAUAUUAUUAAUUAAUGCAGUGGAUCAUGGAAUUAGUCUCAAUUUCUUGCAUGCUUCUAGCUAGAUAUUUCAAUUGAACUUUCCUUCAUUUAAUUGUGAUCUUUAUUUCUUUUAUUUAUUUUUAAUUGUUUUGUUUCUUAUCUGUACA
rnacentral:lncRNA from 1 species